ACAAUAAUAAUAUUAAUAAAAUCAAUAAUUGAAUCAGUUAAUUAAGUAAUAAAAGCUACAUAAAUCUCACUAACACCACAUCAAAAUCUUCAAUCAAAAACAUAAUCACUCUCUCUCACUUUCACUCUAUAAUACUAGCAUAUCAUAUAAUACUUCUACUCUUUAGAUCUGGAGAAAAGAACCGAAGAGAAGAGCGGCGACGGCGCAACCAACAGCGGCAAGCGACGGCGAGAGAGAUCCGGCGGAGGACAUCGGAGAUGGCGCCGGUGCGGGAGACUCGUCGGCGACGGUGGAUCCGAUGAGAGAGAAGACGACGGCGAUGAGCGCGAUGAGAGAGAUUGUGGAGUGAGAGAGCGCCAUUGUUGAGAGAGAUCUGUGAGUUUGAGAGAGAGUGAGGGAGAGGAGUGAGGUGGGAGGGGUUUGAGCUAUUUUUGUGUAUUUAUGGAGGGAUUUGUAGGUGUUGCUAGAUGGGCCUGGGCUGAUUGUAUUUGGUAGAACCGAGAUGAAAUCAUAUGUGGCCCAAAUCUAACAAAAAUACUGGAUUAAAAAUUAUUUAAAAUUAUAUAUUUAAUAUUUGAAAUAUAAUUAAUGAAUAUAUUCUCCAUCAUUAAACUCUAAUCUAAGGGCACAAUGUACAUAGACAUACAGGUAUUUAUGGUUUUUGAUUAAACUAGUGAAAAAAGCCGCGCUUCGCGGCGGCGUGAUAAAUUUUGAUAUGAAUCAGAAUUAUAAUAGGAUAAAAAUUAUUUUGAGUCAUCUUCCUAUUAAACAUAUCACAAAUAAAAAAUAUUAUAAUUGAUAUAAAAAUUUGUUUAAGUGAUCAACCUGUCAAACACAACACAAAUAAUAAAAUUAGUUCGAACCCCCCCUCCCGUCAAAGACAAUAUUAAUCCAUAAUUAUUAUUUUUAUGAUAAAUUAAAUAUUAUAAUUUAGAUCAAAAUUAGUUUGAGCCGCUCUCUUGUCAGACACAAUACUUAUAACAAAACAUUAUAAUUUAGAUAUUAGUUUGGGUCGUUUUAGUGUCAAACACAAUACUAAUAAAACUUAUUCUAAUUAUGAAAAAAUUAAAGAUUAUUUUGAAUUGUGUAACAAAAAAAUAUAUUAUAACAUAGAUAAAAAAUUAUUUUAGCGACUUUACCGUCAAACAUAAUACUAAUAGAAAAUUUAUUAUUAUUUGGAUAAAAAUUAGUUUGGGCCGCCUCCCGUGCCCGUCAAACGAUAUACUAAUCAAGAACCAUUUACAUUAUCAUAAAAUCAAUAUAUGAUACCUAUUUUUUAUAUAUUAUUUUAUUUGUUAAUUAUUUUUAUUUUUUGAUUCCUAUUUAUUAGUUAAAAAUUAUUAUUCUUUUAUAAAAAUUAUUUUAACGACUUUCCCGACAAACAUAAUACUAAUAGAAAAUUUAUUAUUAUUUAGAUAAAAAUUAGUUUGGGCCGCCUCCCGUGCCUGUCAAACACAAUACUAAUCAAGAACCAUUUACAUUAUCAUAAAAUUAAUAUAUGAUUCCUAUUUUUUAUAUAUUAUUUUAUUUGUUAAUUUCUUUUAUUUUUUGAUGCCUAUUUAUUAGUUAAAAAUUAUUAUUCUUUUAUGGUUCUAAUUUUUGUUGCUAUCAGUUUUUUUAAUGAUUAUUAUCUUUACAAUCCUUUACUAAAUCGAUAAUAAAAAUUGUACGUAUUACCAUACAAAUCUUAAAUAUAAAUUAUAUUUUAUCUAUGAUUUUGUUAGUUUGAAUAAAUAUAAUCCUAUUUCUAUUAGGAUUACUAAAUAAGAAAAGAAUUGUCUCAUCUUUAGAAUUCAAUAAGAAAUACUAAAUAAGAAAAGAAUUGUAUCAUCUUUAGAAUUCGAUAAGAAAAUAGUUGUAUUACUUUUAGAAUUCUUGAACAUGAUUUUUUGAAUUAUAACUAUAUUUUCUCUCCGAAAUUUAAGAAAAAUCAGAAGACUGAAUCGAACAAUUCUAGAGACGCCCGCAUCCUCCUUUAUAUAUAUAUAUUGACUUACUACUCCCUCGGUCCGAGUAUUCUUUUUCACUGCUCGACACGCUUUUUAAAACUCUUAUAAAACUUAGUUCUACAAUUUAUUUUUAAAAUUUUCUAUUUUCUAUAAAAAUAUAAAUGUUAUACACUUAUACUUUUAUACAAAAAAAGAAAAUCUUAAAAAUAAUUUACAGAACUAUACUAUAUUGAAGCAUUAAAAUCCGUGCCGCGCCCCGUCCCCAAUGUAUACCAUUGACCGGGACGGAGGGAGUAAUUUAGAAUUCUUGCUUUUAAUGUUUGAUUUUAUUGAGAAAUAUCGGUAUAUCUUUCUGUCGAAAAUAAUUUCAUCAACCAUAUCUUCUUAUAAAUAAAUGGAGGUAAUUUAGGAUUUUCAAAAAAAUAGAUAUUAAUUUAUAUGUAGAAUUACUUGUAAAGUACUCCUUCGUCCUCGUGUAAAAAAAAUAAAUUCCAGAGACGUAAUUUGACACAUAUUUUCAAUUUUUAUAAAAUAUAAAUUUUAUGAAUUAUUUUAAGAAAAAAUCUUUAAAGGAUUUUUUUUUUUGAAAAAAAGGAGAUAAUUCAAUAAAUAAUGACCAUACGGCAUCUACAAGAAUGAUCGAGUCGAACAAACAUAGAAAAAAUUAACAUGUCUGUCUUCAUACCUAAGAUGAGACAAAUAAGCGAUGUUGAAAUUGACGAUGGUACAUGAUCUUUUCCAAAAACUUCGUUUGAGCUAUCGACCACAAAUGCAAUUCCCGAAAGGCUUUAUCUAUGAAUCCAAACCACUCUCACAAAAGAAGGAGAGAAAAACCACAUACUCUCACCAGGGAGAGAAAUCAAACUAUAAUCAAAACAAACUAAAACAAUUAGAUCUACACCACGACGCUUAGGAGAUAAUCGAUCCACUCACAAAUCCAAAAAAGUCUCUGGAAGCGAGUAAGAACAAAAAUCGAAAGUUUCGGUGAUAUAGAUCUAAGAAAACUUUCUCCGAAGAUGGAGAUUUAUUAAGAAACUCAAUUAAAAAGCAAGAACAAUCAAAACCAGCAAUCAAACGAAAAGAUUUGGGGCUUUCCACCGGAAACCGAUGUUUUUAAAAAUAACUUGUGAACUAUAAAAGUUCUAAGAGAAACAGUUUUACUUUGGGCUACACAAAAGGACUCCAACUGGUUAGUUAGUAGUAUAUGAUUGGGCUAUUCAUUAGAAAAGACUUUGGGCUACACAGAAGCUGAUCCAAAUAGAGAACUAGAACAAUCUGGCUGAUAAACUAAACUGAUCCAAUGAUGCAUCUCUGAUUAACCUCCUUGAAUACAAAAAAUAUAAUUAUGAAAACCAUGUUAUCAUGCUAUAUUUUCUAUACAUCUGACACAAGUAUCUGCAUAUGACCAAGUCAAGCUAAAAGAUUUGUUCAAGUCUACAACUUGUAUACAUUUUAGUAUAAGAUAGAUUGGGGAGACCAAGCAACAAGAAACUUGUACUUGAGAGGAUACAGGAGUUAGAGCAGUUGAUUUAUCAAAAUCCCAGAUAUUUUGGCGCUAAGAGCAGCAAAGGUUCCAACGUACUUGGAGCGAAUUUUCUACCAAAAAGAUAGCACACUGAUGAUUGCUGACCAUUGUAAGUGCAGUUCUGAUGUUCCAGGACUCUUUUCAUGAAUUCCUCGGUAAUAUCACCUCUUCCAAAGGUGGCAGGGUGAGGUCCGCCCCUCGACCAAUCCACCCAAGUGAUGCUUCUGUUUGCUAACAUCGUUGGUGCUCGAAUUGUCAGCAUGGUGGGAAAGUAGUGCUCGUCCACAUAACAUGGAGGUCUGCAGAACUCCAAAAAUUUUGGAUAAAAUUUGUUGUCUUCCACUAUACUGAUGGCAAGCUUACGAUUAACUUCAAACCAUUGUGAUCCUUUCCGCCAUUCGCUAAUGUUCACUUCAGGUAGCAUGUUCUCCUUAUAACGUCCUCUUCCAUGAGGUCCCGGGUCAUCAAAUGCACCAAUGAAACUAUAUUUGGAUUUCAUUAGGUACUGAUAGGCAACAGUAAAAUUGGAGAGUGGAGCGCACGACUCUGAGAGGAGAAUGAACCAUUCAUUUGAGAUGUCAAGCAAGGCAUUAGCAAGAAGUCUUCUCUCAGCAUCACAUAUACUCAUCCUCCCCCAUUCCGAUACCUGCCUUGAUGUAAAACAUGAUUCAUGAAAAGAUGAAGAACAUUGUUAUAGUACAAGAUUAGCAACUAAAAACCGAGAUGAACGUCAUAACGAGGUAAAAACAUAUAGAAAUCUGGUCUAUGUAGCUGCUAUUUAAAAAUAAUAACUACCUACACAGUAGCACUCUAUUUAGAAACUGAAAGGGACUAAGGAACCCGGCCUACUAUUAUCUAGACACCCACUUACAGCUUCAAAUCUAAAGCAGUGAUCAAUUUUUUUCUUUGUUUAAGCUUUUCCCUAUAUAAUCUUUGUCUACAAAAUAAUGAAUGUAUACAAAAGCUGGUCAGAAGUCUCAAGUCAUAUAAAUGGAUACAUCCUUAUCUCAUAAGGUAACCAACAAACGCUUUUCUGAGUUGAAAAGGUUCCUGCCCACCUAAUCAAUCUUUCUGAUUUGCCUUUGUACCUUGCAACAACCAUUCUUCCUUCACUGAAUCCCUGAUAUAAUGAUCAUGGCUAGUUAACUUGUGCCAACUUCAGUCCAGGCAUGAAUCAUGAUGGCCAAUUUAAAGUGUGGUUCAAAAGCUUUUCAAUGAAAACCCCACAUAGGUCUAUUAUGCAUCUAUACUGAUCUUGGUGCUAUAGGUAGAACAUAAUUCAUCUUUUGUAAAGGAUCCCAUACAAUAAAACAAACAAGCAACAUUACGUAUGCAAACUAAUAAGUCCACAAGCCAAUUUUCUUUUAUCAUACUCCGGAAACUGAACUUCUCUCAGACAGAUUAUAAGCUGACUGAAGUCUAGACUAUAUCUGUCAGAAUACCAUGUAGGCAAUUACCAAAAUCCAAAUCUACCCUCAAAUUAUAUACUUUGCUGCUAAGCUAAGCGCACAUACAAUAAAACGACUCUUUUCUUCUUGUUGUGGCCUAUGAUGCAAUCAAAUUAAUAUACUGAAUGAACUAAACAACAAAAUGACCACAAAACUAAACGGCAGAGUUCGCUUGCCAUAUAAUUAAGGGAACACUUCCAUAUAUUAAAUUAUUUAACUUGAGAUUACAAAUGUGUCACUGGAUACUAGGAUGUUAAUUUUCGAGACCAUUCCUCCAAACUUUCACAUCUAACAAGAAGCUGAAGCGAAACUGUAAAGUAUCAAACAACACAUUCAUGAGGGAAAUGCUAUACUGUUAACUAAGAAAUGCUUGUGCUUUCAUUACUGUUUCAAUAGAUAGGUGCUUGCUCCUCAAUAGCCAUGCACAGCUCUUUAUUUAUGGUCUAUAAAUUGUCUAAAACAUGUGCACAAGCAAGGAGCAUGGGGAUAACAUUGCAUCAUAAGCAUGGAUGAUAUAACCAUAACAGAGCAUAAUCAGUAACCAAAGGAAAAUUGCUCCGCAGACUUGCAAAAUCUUCCUAUAUGGCAUAAUACGUAACAUAUGACUAUAUGGAAAGUUGCAAACUUAGUCAACCAUACCUGACUUGGUAUCUGUCUCUUGUAGAAAACUGAUGAAGAUGGAAACUGAGGUUUAAAUGAUGGCAGGGAAUGAACAUAGAUAGAAUAAAGGCCAUCAUGCCCUCUAAAAAACCUCUCCCAAAUAGGUGCCAGUGGCAAUGGCCCUUUGGUCAAGAACAUGAAUGCAAUUUUUGGAACUCUUUUAAAUGGAUACUCCUUCCUUUGUGGGAUAAAUGAAGCCCGCCACAAAAGCUCACUAUCAUUCAUACUGUGCAACAAGUUAGUUGGAGGUCUGAUCCAACGAUCAAAAUUAAGAGGCUCUUCAUCAAUGCACGACAAAAAGGUAGUCCUCGACAUGUUUGUCACAAAUAUGCUCUGACCUCCAAAAUGCCGAAUGAGAGAUAUGGUAACAGCCGAAAAGAUGAAACAUAAAACCAGAAACAGCAAAAGUAACUUGAGGAGCCUGUGUGGCAUGACUCUAGGUUGGUUGAUUUUAACUGUAACAGUAGGAUUCUUCCCUUCCUCCAAGGAAGAACCCCUUAAUUGCAUAUCCCCCAAACCAAGCCUUAUCAAUGUUCACCUUCUAAAUACUUCACUUCCUUGCCAAAUCAAAUCCAGAGAAACACCCUUUUAUCAUUCCACACAAUCUGCAUUAUUCACAAAAACAAAAUAAAUCAAACUUCAAAAUUGAAUAUGAUCAAAAUCGUACAAACUUUAACUUUACUUGCAUUACAAAGCAAAGUACGAAUCGGAAUCCAAAAUCACCAUAAGGGUGAGUCAAAUUUUAUAAAAAUACCCAGUACCAAGUUCAUUCAAGAACAAUAGCAACCAAAUCCAAUCCUUACCUCAACUAAAUUCACUUCAUUCUCUUAAAAACUCACAUCUGCCAAGUCACAUAUCAAAAAUUGCACAAAUAUUCACAUACCAUCAUAUGAUCACAAGCUAAAAACAACUUCCUAAAUACUUGAUCAUUCAUUUCGUUCAAAAUUAAAUCACCAAAAUAAAAACAAGAAGUUACCCACAUACCAUGAGUAGAUCUACAAAGUGAACCUUGGGCCUUCAACUUCUUGAAUUUGCACCAAUUUGAACCUACUAAAAACUACACAUGUUAAUCAAUACAACAACAACAGAACUCAAGGGGAGUCUUUAAAACAGUAGGAAAAUAAAAAGGGUGUUGAAAUUGAGGAGAAACAAAGAGAUCUACGGAAUUUUUCAAGCUGAUAAUCUCUCUCUCCCUCCCUUUCUCUCUCUCUCUCUCCAAGCUGAUAAUCUCUCUCUCCCUGUGUCUCUCUCCAAGCUGAUAAUCUCUCUCUCUCCGUGCCUCUCUCUUCAAGCUGAUAAUCCCUCUCUCUCUCUCUCUCUUCAAGCUGAGAAUCUCUCUCCCUCCCUCUCUCUGUCUCUCUGUAUAGAUACACGUGUAUUUGUAUGUAAGUAUGAUAUGGUAACUAGAUAGAUAUUAAAUGUUCACACGUCUUUGGUCACGACAAACACACAGGCAGCAAAGAGAAGAUUCAAAGAGUUAUGUUUGUCGGUUAGUGCUCCUGGUACGCUCCAGCGGAGAGAGAGAUGUGUGCUUGUGUUUUAUUUAUUUGUUUUUUUAUGUAUUUUUUAAUCUUCACUUUAUGCUAAAGAUUGCUCAUUUUUUGCUGGUUUAAUAGAGACAUUACAUGAAAUCAAUCAAAUCAUCCGUAUUCCAAUAAAUUAAAUUUUUUUAAAAUAUAUAUAAACUAGUAUAUUCAAUUCAAUUUUAAAUGAUAUUUAAUUAGAUUUUAAAAUAUAUAUUCUCAAAUGUGAUGAUAUUUAAUUUUAAGUAUAUAUCACUAAAAUCUUUUAAUACAAUCUAUUAAGUCAUAGAUUAUUAAUAAUUCACUAAAAUAUUAAUUAAAUUAUAAUUAAAAAAAGUGAAGAAGCGUGGAACUUAUUACCACAUGAUUUUACGUAAAAGACAGGAACUUAUUACCACAUGAUUUUUUUUCUUUAUAUGAGACUACUCCUUGCUUUCCGAACUGUUUGUCCCACUUUUUAAUUUUAACUGGUUAAAUUAAUUUAAUUUUAAUAAUAUAUGUGUAUAUAUAUUAUAUAAUUAUAAAAAUAAAAAAUAUAUAUUUAUAAAUAUGUAUAUAUAAGUUAUUUUAAAUUUAUAAAAAAAUAAAUUUAAAUUUUAAUCAAUAUUUGAUCAGUUUAUCCUGUCAAAAAUUAAAAAUCUUUAUUUUCGAGCAACAGCAAACACGAUCAAGUCGCACUUUCUUUUUUUUUUUUUUUUUUUUUUUUUUUUAAAAAAAAUUUAAAAAAAAAAAACAAAUAUGAGCCGGCAAUUCACCGUGAUAAUUCUUUCAUUCAAGAAAGCUUAUUAUCUAACCGUCGGACAUGCAAGAUGACCGGGGAAAUUUAGACAAUAAAACUUUAAUGUCCGAAAAGAAAAACCCGUCUUCUUCCAGGAAUCCUGAAAAUAAAACAAAGGAAACAAGAAAAAUAUAAGUAGAUAUAUAUAACAGAUUAUAUAUAUUAUAAAAAUAAAAUAUAUCCAAUAAUUAAUUAUUAAUAAAAUCACGCGUAUAUGCAUGCGUUAAUCAAAAUAUUCACACAAUUAUGAUAACUCAUAAUUGAGACAAUUAAACUCUUAAUUAAGGCACAAUUAAUAAAAAAUUAAUGCCCUUAAUUAAGACACAAUUAACGCCCUCAAAUUAGGCACAAUUAAAAUCCUCAAUUAGGAGGCACAUUUACGCCCUCAAUUAUGAGGCACAAUUAACGCCCUCAAAUCAAGAGGCACAAUUUACGCCCACAAUUAUGUGGCACAAUUAACGCCUUUAAUCAAGAGGCACUAUUUACGCCUUCAUUAUGAGGCACAAUUUACGCCCUCAAUUUACGCCUUCCAUUCUGAAACCAGAUCUGAUCGUAGAACUAUCGUCGUCGUAACCGUCAUCCACCACCGCGCGCGAAGAGGGCGAUGAUAUUGAAUUCUAAGACUAUCCGUUGACAGUUCUUCACAUUAUCUUGAACCGUAAAAUACUUUGCUCGAAUUUUAUCGAACGAGAAGAACUUAAAAAUAAUACCGCAAACCACCGAAUCAAAUCGCCAAAAAUAAAACAGAAUGACAGUGACUCAGUACUCCGAGUACACAAUCUUCACAUCCCUGAACACCACACCAUCAUUCAAUCACCCAACGCACACACGCACUCUAAACUCACACACCCAUCUGCACCAGUACACACACUGAUACACACACGAAAUANACACGAAAUACCCACAAACGCACAGUACACACACUCCACUGUAUACACACUCAUUCGCAUAUGUACACAGGCACGCAGCAUCACACGGGAAAAAGAAGGAAAGAAACCGGAGAAGAAGAGGGAAAAGAGCGGAAACCGGCGGGACGGAGCGGUGAGCAACGGCGGCGGAAGAACAGAGGUGGAGAGAUUGGGGAGAACUUGUGCUACGCUUGUUUACGAUUGGGGAGAUUGGAGAGGAGUUCAAGAUAAUGAAAUUAGUAUUUAAGUCGCACUUUCUUUGAACGUGAAUAGAACAUGCACUAAAUUCAGAAUGUACAAUGUACUGCAUAAUUAAAAAAUUCGCACUCAAAUAUAAAUAUUCAUCAAGUAUAUACAAGUCUGAUUCUCCAGGUUUUCAUGUUCUAAAUUUUUCCAUCCAAUCACAUGAGGAUCUUAAGAUUUGGAAACCAGAAACAUAUUCUAUGUAAUAAUAUAUAUGUAGUGAGUAGUGACACAUGUGAAAGAGCAGAGACACAAGCCUUUAUUUAUUUACAUGCAAAUUAAACAAAGUGGACUAAAUGCAUUAUGUUAUUUUUAAUCUUGGUUCCAAAAGGUUUCUUCUGGACUCAUAAUGCAUGUAUGUACACAUGGUCCAUUGAGGACACCAACGACAUUAACUAAACUUAGCAACUGUAUUAAUUUGUUGAAAACACAGGCUUGUUAUUGCACAUGGCAACACAGCUAGACAAAGGCAAGGGCAGAUUCAGAAAAAAAACAGGCAGCAUGGACUAACAAAUUCAUCAACUGUGUUGUGCUAGUUAAGACUCUAAAGAAGAAUGUCAAGCGUUAGCUGUGUACAUCAGACUCAUAAUGCACACAGCACAUGUACAGAAUCCUGACAUUCCAUGUCUAAUUCAUCAAACAAAUAUUUGAACAAUUACUAAUCAGUUGUGUAUGUCUACUGUCUGCAUAACUGUUCUUAAAAGUGUUAUAACGUAAUACACAGGUUCAGCCAGUACCAUCUUACCAUUCCUCAUCAUAGUUCAAAGUAAGAAUUCUGAUCAAACUGCUUUGCUCAUCCAUCAGAACUAAUACCUUACUAUGCGAGGGAAGUAACUAUAAACCCCAGUUUCUUUCUUAUUGGCCUUGGCAACGGCAUGCCAGUCUCUAUGCCAAUCCCAAAUGCGUAUACUCCUGGCUAGCAUAUACUCUCUAUAUUCUGACAUCAACACCUCAAAAGUGACACGAAGAUUGUAGAUGGCAACUGGGCAUUUUCCCAUCUCAUCAUAUUCAGAAAAUUCUCCAUUAGACAAGUUAAUGUCCAAAAACUUGGUCCCAGCAAUCUACAAAAUAUAAAAUAAGCACAGCUAGAACACAGCUAGAAAAUAGACGGUAUAAUCUAAAAACAGAGCUCCACGCAUAUACCACAUGUUUUGACAUAGAUAGAGUAGAUCAAGGAGAUGCUUUAUAUAUGUCCACAACAUUGAACUGUAGAAAAUAAAGGGAUCUCACAUAACAAUAUAUCUGAAAUAGAGUGUUGACAAUGAUAGACACACAUGGAAACUAAGCAAGUGCUGGAAUUAUACAGACACGAAACAGGAAGCGUAAGACAAUAUAUUUGUGUUUGAAAGCAACCGCAAGUUAUCAGAGUAUUUCUCCUUUUCUAAACAAACUUUAACUUCACAAAUAAGAGACACCACUCUGUCGAAUAUUAAAAAAAAAUAGGAGAUAGAAGAAACAGAUUUACCUUCAAAAUCCACAAGGAAACAGUAGUAUAUGGUCACAAACAAAAUUCCUAUACCAUAUUUAAACACUAAACUGAGAUGGACAAUUGGGUGAAUAAAGAUAACAGCAAGUGAAACAGUAAAGCUUCUAACACUGGCUUGUAAGUGUUGUGUUAUUUCAGAAAACUUUUAUCUGCUUGUACUUGUGUAUGCAUACAUGAGCUCUUGCAGUUUAAAAUAUUUUUUUAAGAUACUAAAAGGUAUCAUGUGUUGUACCAUUCCUUUCCAAUUCAAUGUCAUGGUUUACGACCAUUUUUAAUAGCAUGGUUCAAAGACAGUUAGAAACAAGCUUCAGAAUCAUUUAAUCCAGGAAACUCGUACACUCACAAGUUGCAUCUUAUAAAUUAAUCCAUCAGGAUCCAUCCAGGUUUUAAGGGAUUCCAUCUUUGGGUGAAUACAUAUACAUAGGGAACAUCACAAUCUGAUAACCUUACAUCUCACAAAAGAGGCAAUCGGCAAAGUAUGGUGCAGACAAGAAACUCACCGAUUUAGCUUUCCAACCAUUGCCAAACACAAGUUCAACAGGAUCGAAUCCCUUGCAGUCAAGUUCCAUCAGAGGGGCAGAUUCCCCAAUGGCACUAAGCUCCUCAGUUAGUGGCUUCCCUGUAUCAGUGGUCACCACAUUCAUAGAGCCUCUUCUCUCACAGAGCUUACACUGCGACAAAAGAAGUAAGAAAGUGAACCACUAUGGGUAAAAGGGUAACUGAUUCCUAUAAAAACAAGGGAAAAUAGCAAAUAUUCAUCAAAAUGACCCUCCAUUGUACACUAAUCUCUUUAACCUUCAUAAAAAGAUUAGGGGCAUUUCUUGAACGAGACGUUUUCACAUUGGAAAGCACACUAAUCUCCUUCUUUGCCGGCUCUCCACAAUUGCCACAUUUCAUCUACAAACACAUGAACGUUGAAUUUACAAUUAAAAUCUACACACAUAGGGUAAGCACAGCACAGAAGAAAGGAACAUGUUAAAAAAGAAAGAAAGAAUGAUAGCAGAGUACCAGCAUAAAUAAGCAGAAAACAAGAGCUUAUAUAUGUAACGUAUUCAGUUUAGUUCACUAUGGAAGACCUAAACUACAUCUAUACAAGAGCUUAUAUUAUUAAAAUUCUUUUGUACAUACAUAUAAUAUCCAACAAAAAGACCUAAUUCAAAUUACGCUUAAAAUACCACAAUCACUUGUAAUGAACUAACGCCUUGCACCUAUGCUGAGAAUGUAUAUAAAUGUACAUUCGUAGAAUAAACAUACUAAAAUGGAAAUAAAAAAGAGAGAUAGCAGAGGAUCCAUCAUUGAUACGUAUCCAACAGAAAUACCUAGAAAUGAAUAACGCCUCCAAUAGCACAAGUACACAAUAUAAUACUCACAAAUUAUCACUGACGAUGUAGAAUAAGCACUGUAUAAUAAAAAUAAACAAGUUAACGUGAAUGAUAGAAGAGAAUCCAUCAUAAAUCCGAGGUAUCCAACAAAGUACCUAGAAAUCAACUUACGCCUCAAAUAGCACGAUUACAAUAUGCAGUAACCUGAUACGUCGAAAUUUAUGUGGCAUCAGCACAUUAAAAUGGAAAUAAUCAAGUAAACAUAGAUAACAUACGUCAAUCCAUAAUAAUCAAGUAGAUAACAAGCUGUAGCAGAAUUUAAUCACUAUGUGAACCACGCAUAUAACUUAUACAUAAGAGAAGCGUAAAUUUAACUAUAUUAUGACAAAACAAGAGUAGAGCAAUGUAGAUCUCAGCGAUUUUCAACAUAAAAAUAAGAAGCAUAUUAUGUAAAUUCUACCGUGUAUCCAUAAUAUAUCAAACACGAAGACGUAAAUUAGCAAAACAAGUGAUGAUUACAUUAGCAUGAACUGUAAGAAUGAGCAUACAGUCACAAAUACACAAAAACGAAGUGAAAAUGAAGAAAAUAGCGAAAAAAUCGUGACAUUAAACCUUGAAGUAGUAAGCGAAAGUAGGACUAUCAACGCCAUCGGCAGGUUGAAGAUUAGUCAGAUUCUGGAGAUCUGCAGUGAAUAAUACUCUGUACCUCACCAUUUCUCUCUCUCUCUCUCUCUCUCUCUCAGUCUCGCUCUCGCUCUGUGUGCAUUUGUGUGUAUGUUUUGCUUGGAGAAGGAGUCAGGAGAGACAGUGAUACAGGGCAUUCGUUUAUAUGAGAGACGUUGAUGUUUACAAGGAGCAGGCAUUUUGAGGUAAAAUGACAGUUUGCCCCUGAUGUACGUUAAAUUGGAUUAGGUUUUUUUGGUGUAGUCAAGGGUAGAAUGGGGAAUGUAGAGGUCAUGUAGAGCUUGUGUGGUGGUUGUAUAGAAGUAGCAGGGUUGUAGCUUCUGUUGUUUUGACGAAUGGGUUAUCAGGUACGGAUUGCCCAAUUUCCAUAUAUAGAGGAGCCCUCACUGGGAACGUUACAUCAAAUUUUUUGAUGAAGAUAAUUUUUAUUUUCGUUCCGCUUGACCCCGAUCCGAGGCAUGAUAUUGUAAUGCAUGGUGUGAUUGAGGUGUGUUUUAUUAUGAACUCCACUUGCUUAUUAGUAAUAUUGCUAACCUUGCUUAUUAAUACUGCUAACUUUCAGUAGUUAUGUGUUGCGAUAAUUACCUUUGUUGUAAUAUACCUAUAUCCACUUUCUUGUUGCAGGAGUGUGGGAGAUAAUAGCUGAGAAACUGACAAACUUGUCACAAUCACAUAGUACUGAUCACAGUAACGAGUCAGAAUUGCUAGCCGAACGUAAAAACAUGAGUAUAUAAAUAUGAGUUGCACUUAAUACUGAUUUAUGAAGCAACUUUAAAAAUGUAUUUCUCUCGAGAGAGAUGGUGUUCAUUACUCCGGUAAGAUAUCACGAAUUUAUGAGUUUUUUGACAAAGGCUUCAGUGCUAUCUUUCGAUUUAUACUCGUUCGGUUUGUAACUUGCUAGUUUGCAUAGUGCUCGAUCAAGUUCUUAUUGUAGACAAGAAAUGGCUCACAUUGCAGAUGAGAUCAAGCAAACACUUGAAAUUACAUAUGCAUUGUACUAUUACAAGGGCAUUCAAAUAAUAUAAAGAUUAAGCUGUUCAGAUCAAGAAGAGCUGCGCGAUAUUAACAAUUAUAUGUCAGUAUUAUUGUCAGCAUACUGCCAUAUUUAUGCAAUCAGGUCAACAAUUCAAUGUGCACAAGAUACUAUCGGAAACCCAGAUGGUGUAUCAUUCCAUUCAGUAAGAAUAUCAAGGUUUCCUUCUGGAACAGAACAUAAAACAAUAAGAAGCACAUGUAGAAUGUUACCCAGCAUUGUUCUUAAAAUGUUGAGAGGUAAAACAGAGGUUCACCCAUCCAUAAUAUCAUAAAAUCUGCAAUAAUAAUUGCCUUAAAAUUGUUCAGAGGAAUCAUCCUGAUCAAAAUGUAAUGCUAAUCCAUGUCAAACUUGUACCUUCCCUAAUCAGGGGAAAGAAGAACCAGUUUCUUUCUUCCUGGCUUUCAGUAAUGCAGACCACUUUUGUUGAUGUUCCAACAUGGAUCUGUCCCAGGCUAGGCGCUUCUCUCUCAUUUCUGACAUCAUCACCUCAAAGGUAGCACAAAGGUUACUUAUGGAAACUGGGCAUUCUCCCUUCUCGUCGUAUUCAUCAAAUUCCCCAUCAGACAAGUCAAUGUCCUCAAAUUUGGUCCCAGCAAUCUACACAAAUAUUUAAAAAGCCCACUAUAACACAACAGCCUGUAUAAUUUGAAAAAUAGAGCUCCAUAAUUUUAUGUUAUAUUAGAGUAAAUCUAGGAGAUGCUUUACCUAUGCUUAUAAAAUUUACAUAUAGAGGAUAUAAAUAACACAUGUUAUCUAGAAAUUAAAUCCAGCAGGAUCAAUGCAGAUUAUAAAAUUUUAUCAAUUGAUGCUUUGAGAACGUAAACCAUAUACAAAGUAAAAGUAUUACAAUCUAAUAAUCCUACAUCUCACAGAAGUGGGCCAAAUGGAAAACCAUGGUGCAAAAAAAAACUUACAGAUUUAGCCUUCCAACCAUUUCCAAACACAAAUUCGACAGGAUCCAGUCCUUUGCAGUCAAGUUGGAUCAGAGGAACAGAAUUUCUGAAUUCACUACGCGCUUCAGUCAGUGGCUCUCUAAUGUCACAGGUCACAGUCACAGAACCAACCCUCUCACAGAACUUACACUGCAACCAAAUAAGAAGGAAUGUAAACCAGUAAGAGUAAGUGGGUAACUAAUGCCUAUAAAACUUGGGGGAAUAAGCAAAAAUUUGUCGAAACUGAUCCAACAUCAGACAAUAAACAUAUAUAUGAAGAAAGUUCACAACUAAGGAAGCCUAGAUUUAAAAGAGAGAUGACCUUCAUGACAAGAUUAGGGGCAUUUCUUGAAUCGUCUACUUUCUCACUGGGAAGCACACUGAUCACUUUCUUUGCUAGUUCUCCACAAUUCCCACAUUUCAUCUACAAUCAGAAGAAUGUUGUGAAUUCAUUUCUGAAGUUUAAGAGAACUCAUACAUAUAGUAUAAUAUUAAAGUUAUUGAGACAAGAUCAGUUUAGAUGACAUUAGGAAUUAUUUCCAAUUAAUUAACACAACAAUGGAUAGAAGAGUAAGAACAGAUUGGAAACAUGUGCACUAAAUAAAAGCAGAAGUAUUUCCUCAUUACUAUAUUCAUCAUGGAAGAUAAACUAAGUAUGUCAUACUAAUGAAAGUGAUGAUAGUCAAUCCAAAGACCACAAGAAACUUCUAGGAAGCCAGAUAUGUUUUUCUAAAAGUAAGACCACUAUAUUCAGAUAUCUAAGUAGACUGCUACUUGUUUCGAAAAGGCGAGGCAUAAUAGACAUAUUAAGAGCAAAUCACAAUCUCUCAAAGGGAACCAAUAAUAAUUAUUACAUACAUUCAUAAUUUGUGAACAUAUACAAGAAUAUGUAACAAAUACAUAUAGUGAACCAUAUAUAUAUGCAACAACACUAGCAAUCACAUUAUUCAAGUAACCAAUACUUCAAAACUACAAUAUAAUCCAAAUUUAAAUUGGAAGUGGAGAAUUAAAUUACGCCUGUAACAGCACAAUUACAAAAUAAAAAAGUAAAGACAAAGAAACUUACACAGAGUAUCUAACUAAAGGUACCUAUCUUGAAUAAGCACAGCCUAACAUGAAGGAAGUGUAUAUGUAAGAUACAAUAGCAACUAGCUACACAAAGCACAGAAUUGCAUAUUUGUAACAAUGCGAGUAAUAUCAACUACAAAAAACCCUAAACAAUGACAAUACCAGAAUAGAUCUCUGUAGAUGCAAGCAAUUUUAGUUAUAAAACGUAUAUCAUAUAUGCGAAUAUACUCUAUGUAAUUACAUAGACUCGAAAAACCUAGAAAAUGAAAUUAUGCCUAAUAUCGCAAGUUUAUAAUGAACUGAAAGACCUUAAAAUUUACGAUAAUUAAGCACGCAAAUAUUAGCUAAAAAACCACAAAAAAUGAACGAUACAAGACGAUUACACGGAUAAGCACAUACAUUACAUAUACGUAAGGAAAGCUGGUAAAAAUCAACUCAGUUACGACUUAAGAAGAGUAGAUUACUGUAGAUCCGAGCGAUUAUAGAAAAAAACACGCAUAUUACGAAAAAAUCGGCUGUACAUCCAUAAUAUAUCGAAACGACGACGUAAAUUAGCGAGAAAAACGAUGAAUACACAAUUUGACAAGCAUGAAGCGUAGAUUAAUACCGUGCGCACACAUUAUACACACAAAUUGACAAAUAUGUAGUGAAAUUGAGAAAUCGAGAGAGUAAACCUUGAAGUAGUAAGUGAAAGUAGGAUCACUAGAAGGCUUGAGAUCGGUGAGAUUCUGGAGAUCGGCGGUGAAUAAUACUCUGUACUUCACCAUUGUUGCGUCUCUGAAUUUUUUCUGUGUAUGUACAGAUUUCUAUAAGUGUAUGUAUAUGCUGCUUUGCGUGGGAGAGUACGGGAGAGAGAGAGGGGUGCAUUUGCGUGUUUAUAUGUGGGGUUUAGUGAUGGACAUAAACGGGAAAAGAAAUUUCUGUGAAAUUACAUUUUUGCCCAUGGAGAAGAUUUAAAUGAUUUGAGAGUUGAGACUUCGAGUAGAAGGAUUCGAUCAUGUUGUUAAUUUAGGGUCUGUUUGUGCAGCGUUAAAAAUUGUUGUCACCAAAAGAAAAUCGGUAAUUAUUUGGUAUUUUGUUUGAAAGGCUUUAAAAGUUCUUGAAAAUAUCAUUAUAUAAAACAGUAAUUAUUUGAUAUUUUUUUUAUAUUUAUAUAUUUUGAGAUAUAAUAUAAAAAAUAAUAUUUUUAGCGAAAUUUAUAACAGCUUCCGUAAAAAUUAAAAUAUAAUUCUUUUCAAAAAUAAGUGUUUUUCCUAAAACUAGUUUUUGAGUUGAAAAUUAUCGUUCUAAAAAACCGUUUUUAAAUUUAUCAAAUAAUUUUUCACAACCUCUUAUCAAAUUUUACCAGUUUUACAAAUUCUGUUUAUCAGACCAUGUGAAAUAUCAUUUUGUUUUAGUGGGUGUGUAAAAUAGUUUGAUUCCAUAAAGCUUAAGUAUCACUCGCCACAAGUUUUAUGGGCAAUAGUUGGUUUACUCAAGUUUUUAACAUGGGCAAUAGUUGGUUUAUUCAUUAAAAGUGUCUUUUUACUUCUCUAAAAAAUAUUACUCCCUCCGUCCCCUCAUUUGUUGACAUUGAGGGGCGGGGCUCGACAUGCAUUCUAAUAUUCACAUAAGACGUAGUUUGAUAGAUUAUUUAAUAUGUAAAAGAAAAUUUUUAAAAAUAAGUUACACAACUAUAUGUUUUAUAUGCGUUUUAAAUGCGUGUUGAGCAAGGUAAAAAAACUGUAUAUAAAUGAGAGUGACAAAGAGAGCAAAAUUGAGUUAAAAACAAAUAUUUGAAUUUUGUCAUAUGACAGACUCAUUAAUCAUUAUCAAGUGCUGUGAUCAGAAUUCAGAACAAUACUUUUUUUUUUUUUAACACACUGAAUAUCGACAACUUUAAGAGAGCCCCUAAAACAGUAACUAGACCAUGACUAUUUGUUUGCACCCACUGGCCACUACUGCAUAGAGAUCGAGUUAAAGAUGCUUUAAAAGCUUCACAAAAUUAGCCUCUUCUUGCCCAACAAACUAAUAAUUUGCUGUUCUUAGUAUUGAGAUUAUACUAUUUUAUCAUUUGGAUCACGGGAGUCCGGCUAACAAAAAUGAGAAUAACGCUCAAUAGGAUAAGUCUAUACCCCGGAUAAUUUUACCAAAAGCUUUUUUAAGAAAAUAAUGACUUGAAAGUUUUGUGUGACCAGUUGCAAGACCUGCAGUUUCACAUGUUAUUCCAGAUAACAUGAUAUAUGAAUAAUAGAACUAAUAUUCUAUAAAGAUCCAUCAUAAAAGUAGUCUGCUUUCGCAAUUUGAACCUAGUUUAAACUGAUCUCCACUCAGUCUUGUUUUGGCUAUGACUAUCACAGGGUAAUUUGCCAUCAGUUUUUAAACAGCAAGAGAGUCUCAAGUCGAAGCAGGAUUCAAAUGAAUUCUUCUUUCGUAAUUGUCAGUUACAGAAACUCAAAUACCAGAAUAGUAAACAUUGGUUUAUUAGGUACUCCUCUGUAUAAUGGAAUUGUUUGAAUAAUUUUAAGUACAAGUGACACUUAUGUCCCCAAAUCACAGAUCCUGAUUUCUACUUUACAGGACCUGGUAAAUUUUCCAAUCCCUACACUAUUAACUUGGAGCAAGCAUAAUGAAUACAGAUAAAUUGUACUUAAUUGCAACCUGAGAUAUACGAUUCAUGAGUACACAUAGGACUGGUAGUUAUAGUGUGAACUGUAACCUAAACAAUACUGAGAUCGUCCAUCCAGCUAAAUUCACCCAAGAGACAGCCAUACCUAUCCAUCAAAAUCGGACCCGACUGCAGUAACAUAUCAACAGCUUCUUGUUCUACUAUUCUUCGGCUCAAACUCCUCUCUGCCUGGUAAUCAAUAUGAAUAACUUCCAUUGCCUGGUCAUCAGAACCAAUGACAUUCACCGAAACAUCACAAUCAUCAGACUGAGAUUCUCCACGAGACUCAACAAUAUUUGCAUCAUCAAAUCCAACUAAUGUUGCUACCUGAUCAUCAAAAUCAGCUAAUUUCACCACAACAUCAGAAUUAUCAGGCAAAGAUUCUGCAUUGGACUCCUCGUGGCCACUAACGACUUCUUGAUCAUCACCUAAGUUGUCUUUCCUUGCAAUAGCCCGGAGUUUGAGUUUUUCAUGUUCCAUUUUUUCCGACUGAUAAGCCUUAGAAGCUUCCUCCUGUGCUGUAUAGCUACCAAGACAUAUCCGAACACCUUCAAUCGUAACACCGUUUUUCUCACCAUCAAAAUCAACACCCUUCAUCACCUGAUCAUCACAAACAACUACACCAUCGUCGCCAUCAUCACAGAAAGCCUCAACCUCUUGAUCACCAACAAACUUGUCUUUUUUCACAGCAUCCUUAAAUUUAAUCUCUUCAAGUUCCAUCUUUCUCAUCUGAUAAGCCUUAGAAGCUUCCUCCUGAGUUGCGAAACUACCAAUCCACAUUCGAACAUUCUUCUUCUUCGGGUGCUCGAUCUCCGCGACCCACCUGGACCUUUUCAUCCUGACACCUUCAAGCUUCAUAGGAACUUGUUUUUCAGACAAGCAAACUGCGUGUCUUCUUGUCUUUCUAACGGUAAAAUAACUCGUGGCAAGAUUUUUGGUAACUGAUUUUCUACAAUUUUUCUUAGCCAUUGUUCUAAUUCUCUGUGUUUUUCUAAAGCUUUUGCUUUUAUAAGCAAAAAUUUGAGGAACUUACCUACUCGGACACAAGUGAAGAUUGGUCUUAUCAUCUUAAUUCUAUGUUACUUAGUGAAGCGUGGGGCCAUGCGGCGAUCUUCGCAGAACCUGCGGUAAUACAUACAGAGUGCUACAUGCACAAAAUUGGGUACAUAAUUUUACACAAAAUGACAUGGCAAUCUAGGUGGGGAGUUUUAAUUGGUGCUAUUAAUGCAUGUGCAGGGGGUCCAUUCCAAUCACAAGUUGACACAUACUCAUUCUGUGAAUAUUUCUGUACCCAAUUCUAUGCAUGUAGCAUUUUCCAUACAUUAAUUAGUUCUUGAGCACCAGUGUUGUGCUGUAAUAUUUAUCUCAAAUAUCCAAAAUAUUAUCCUUCCUCCGACUCAAAUUAUCUCUUUCUUUCGAUUUUGAAAAAGUUAAAUUUUUAGUUAUGAACGAUUAAAAUGGACUAAUUUUUUACUAAAUAUUAGUGAAAGAUAUUUAUUUAUCAUUCUCAAAAUAGAAGGUUAUAUUUCAAAAUAGUAUAUAUAUUUUGCAACAGACCAAUUACAUGAUUCAGCUAAAUUCGUUAAUGGUCGUUCUCACAGUUAAACAAUGCUGAUUUUUCUGUUCCACUUCCACUAAAAUAUUCCAACGAGUCAACCAAGUCUAGUCUUUGCUAAAGUAGAAUUUACUUCAUACUACGCGGUCCACCAACCUACCUAGAGGUGGCAAAAUGUAGUUUUGGUUUGGUUUUGGUUCUUAUAAAAUGGAUUUGGUUUGGAUAGAUGAACCAAAACCAUUUCCAAACCAUAUAUUAAUAAAUGUGGUUAUGGUUUUAGUUUGAAUUAUGGGUAACUAGUUUAGUAAAUAAAAAUAAAUUUUAUAUAAUGAACAAAAGUUAAUACACUCAAAUCACAAUAUAAUGAAUACUAAAUAUAACAAAAGCAUGUGUGAGUGUGUGAGUUGAUGGAGUGGUUUAAGUUCUUGGCUUCUCCAAGUAAGGUCAUGAGUUCGAAUCAUGGGAUGUGCAUGUGUGAUAAUUAGCAAAAAGAAAAAAAGAAAAGAAAAGGAACCUAAUAGUGUGUGUGGAGAGUUAUAAGAAAUCUUAAAAGUGAGACCAAAUGUGGUUAGAACCAUAUUUUGUGAGAAAUGUGAGACUAAAAACCAAACCAAAUCCAUUUUUCUAAAUGUGAUUUCAAAUGGAUCCAAAUUCACAAUUUUGGUUUGGUUUGGAUUGGUUUAAUGGUUUUGCAUCCAUAUUGCCACCUCUAAACCUACCCUUUCAACUUGACGGGAAUAUUUUAUUAUUAUUAUUAUUAUUGUUAUUAUUAUUAUUAUGAUUAUUAUUAUUAUUAUUAUUGAAGAAUUUUAUUUAUACGUAAAUAAUUAAUAGAGUAUUUAACACACAUAAUCGGUGUUCUAAAAAUCUUCGAUUUAACCGAUUAAUCCCCGCAACCUACAAGGUCGGCCACCGAUUCGAUUUUUGAAUUCUGGUUAAUCCUUAUAUGUAUUUCUUAAUCGAAGUAUAUAUGAUAAAUUAUUAAAAUUAAAAUACUAUAUUAUUUUAAGUAUGAAUAAUUAUAGAGUUUAUGAAUGUAGUAUAUAUGUUAGUUACUAAAUAGCUAAUAUAAUAAUAACUAAAUAUUAUAUAAUAUUUUAAUAUUAAAAUAAAUCUGAUUUUCACUCCGAUUAAUCUUUCUAAUUAAUCUCCGAUUUCCAAUUAAUCCCUGAAUCGGUAGCUCAACCGAUUAGGCCCGAUUCCCGAUUUCUGUAACACUGCACUUACGUAAUAUGUAAGGUGGAUUUUUUCUUUUUAUCCCGUUCAUUUUACAAAAGAUAGUCCGUCGGAUUUAUAUUUAUUGUUCAUCCAAAUUAUUUGGUAAUUUUUCUAGAUUGUGGUUUUCGCCAGAUGGAUGAGUUAACUAACACAUGCAUAUCUUAUUAUUCUGCUUCUCACUUCUCAAAACAUGCAUUUGUUAGUCACUCACCUUCUCGAGCAUAAUUUUCGUAUUCUCAAAUUACAUAACUUUUGUAUUCUCAAAUUAUGUGUUGAUCUGGUUCUCAAAUUGUGAUGUAUCAUUAUUAUUCUAUUUUAUAGUGUCCUGGUUCUGCUAAUUGUCUAGAAGUUAUGAAAAGUUUAGUAAGUGAAUAUAUCUUGAGUUUUGGAAGUGACAUUGAAUUUUAAAGUAAAAUUGAGUAUACAGGUGAUGUAAUUAAUAAAUGAUUAAUUGAAAAAAGUUGGUCAAAAUAAUUUGAGAUUUAUUUUUAUACUAUCAAAAUUUAUUGUUUUAAAAUUUUAAAAAUAAAGAGUUAGAGGAUACCUAAAAAAACGUAAAAAAUACAGAAUAUGAGAAUGAAUGUUUGAGUUAUAGUAAAAUAGAAUUUCAUUUUUUCAAUUUUUUUUAAAAAAUUCAUACUUAGUUUAAUAUUAAUUAAUUAUUUUUUAAUUCCCAUGCAAAGCGGGCACGAUUACUAUAAGCGGGCAUGAAUAUUUUAAAAGAGAAACUCCCGCAUUAAAGCAUUGUUUAAUUAAAACAGUUGUGCAGUUGUGCAGUAGUUACACUAUCGAGAGCAAAUUAAUGUGAAAAUUUUAAUGUAAUUAAAUUAGUAGAACAAGGAGCUCACUUUUAAAGGCGGUUUUUUUCCUCUAUCUAUACAUCAAUAAAUUUAAUUUUUAAUGUUUAAACAAAUAAGGUGUCUCAAAGAAAUUAUACCAAUAUGAAACAAUUUAGCAAAACUUAAUUUCAUUUCCUUUUAUUUAAAAUUUUCAAAAAAAUCUUUAUCAUGCCCAUGCGCAGCGGGCAACUAUUACUAGUAUCUUAUUAUUCUGCUUCUCACUUCUCAAAACAUGCAUUUGUUAGUCACUCACCUUCUCGAGCAUAAUUUUCGUAUUCUCAAAUUACAUAACUUUUGUAUUCUCAAAUUAUGUGUUUAUCUGGUUCUCAAAUUGUGAUGUAUCAUUAUUAUUCUAUUUUAUAGUGUCCUGGUUCUGCUAAUUGAUCAUAAGUGACCGGUUAAUUAUCGUUAGAUGAAUAAAUAUCAUGAUUAUAAUAUUUUUUUAUCAUGUCCAAUAUACUUUCUUAUUUUAGAAGAAUUAUAUUUAUUUGCAUGAUAAGUUACGGUGGUCGUAAAAUGAUGAUCUUUGCGUCAAUAUUAAUAUUGCAAUCAUAAAAUCAACUAAAAUCAAUCAAUCACCAUCAUCGUGGUAGUAAUUCCUCUAUCUUAAUAGUGGUUCGGAUCACCAACCAUGUCAUAAAUAUCAAUCCAACACCCGAUUACAAUACAUCACCCAUUUUAUUCACAAAUCUAAUCAAUAUAAAAGUCCAGAUUUUAUGAACGCAGAUCUUCUUAUGAAAAUUGUACAUAUUUAUAUAUUUUUAACUUUUCAUAUUUUUAUAAUUUUAUAAAAUUUAGAACAAUGACAAAAUAUAAUUUUUUUUUAAAAAAAAUAGGUUUCAUCGUGUUAUUUACUGAGCUCAUAGUCCAUAAAAAUAUUGGAUGUUAAUAACUUAAUACAUCAAUAAAUUUUCUCAUCUCAAAUAACAUUUAUUAUAUUCAUUCUUCAUAUAAUAUUUUAUUAGUAAAAUGUAUUAUCAUUAUCAAAAGUGAAAAAAAAUUAAUAUAUAUAUUACGAUAAGAGUUAGAAAAAUAUAUGUUAACUAAAUAUAAAAAAUGAAUUAUAUUUUUUCGUGAUUUAAAAAUCAAUUAAAAAUACUGUUAAAAUGGAUUUAUCUCAUAUUUUAGUUUAAGAUUCGAAAUAGUUAAACGAUUGAGGUUACUAAAAAAACCCAAAUAGAUUUGGAUUUUAAAUUUACAUAAUCGGACCCAAACCGACUCGUCGCAAAUAUAAAAAAUAAACCCAGCGGGGCAGCCGGGUUUGAUCAGAGCAGAGCAGCUUCUGGGGUCCGAUCGCAUGGCGUCCCCUUCUCCUCCAAUUCAUUUCUCCGUCCCACCAGACCCCGGUAUAUACUUAAAUACACUCUUUAUUUUACUUUUUUUAUCUUAUUUUUUUCAGUUCAUUUGAAUUUUACUUGAUGAUUAUAUUAAUUGAUUUAUUUUAUAUGAACUCUAGGGUUUGAACUGUUGAGUAAUAGAUUAGGUUAAAUUAGUGAGUCUCGGCUUGUUGAAUUGGUGAUUGAUCGAACAAGUGGAUCAGACUUAACUGCUACUUUAGUACACUCAGUUUUAAUCGUAAUAAGCUUAGCGUGUUUUUCGGGGGGUUUCGAAGCUCUUUACUUCUGUUUCGUGCUAUGUGGAGAUUUUUUCCGGAUGAUCGUGUGAUUAUGUAUUGAGGAAUUGAAUGGGAUUGUGUUUCGAAACGUGUUAUACGCAAGCAUUUUAGGUUUUUGUAGCUGAUGCCAUGGGAAAAUGUGACCUAGAUUAUUGAUGUACUAGAAAUGUGUUGAUUCCUCUGGCUUUGGAUUGCCGACUGAUUCUUUGAUUCUAGAGGGAUUCGUCAUUCAUUUGUUAAGGCCAUGGGGUGUGCUUAAAGUAGAAAGAGUAUCAUAUCGUUGAUUUAACUUGGAACUAAAUAUGUUUAGGUGAUGAGACUUUAAUUGAUUAAUUACCAUUCCGAUAUUGGGUGUUGUUAUGUGUUUUUCUCGUCAAUUGUCACGUGUUUAUUUAACUUCCAAGUAAUUAUUUAUUGAUUUUGUAUACCUUUUGUUAAAACUUCUACCUAUAUUGCAGGUGGGGGACCCCUUAUUAACAAUGGCAGCGAACCUCCUGUUCCCAUUUAUAUCGUAACUGAUGCAUCUCAGCUUCCGAACGAAUUUCUGCACCCUUCUCCAGACAGACAAUUGGUGAUUGGUCUUGAUUGUGAGGGUGUUGACCUUUGCCGAGCUGGAACUCUUUGUAUAAUGCAGGUAAAUUAUUUGUUUAGUACUUGGAUUGGAAAAAAGGUUUAGAUCAUUGCUGAUAAGCUUUUGUACGAUUUUUUGGAAGACUGAAUAGAGGUGAUCUGGCCAAUCAGGUCUGACUUAACAAUACCAUUGUAACAAUUAGUUAAACUCCUUUCAGCGUCAUAUAAGUCCAAAAUUAGUAAUAUGUGUUACAAUUGGAUUUAAGCCAGAUGAACUAGUAGAGCAAUAAUUAAAGUGAGCAAUACGUUGAUAUUCAUUUGUCUUUAACAUGAAAGGAAAAUCCUACAUGGCAAUCUAGAAACUUUCAAGGACAAAUUUGAAUAUUAUAUAUAUGUUCUUAUAUGAUGGGAAUGUAUCCUUUGCAGCUUGCUUUUCCAGAUGCUAUAUAUCUUGUUGAUGCUAUUGAGGGGGGGGAGACGCUUAUUAAAGCUUGUAAGCCUGCACUUGAGUCUGUUAACAUCACUAAAGUUAUUCACGAUUGCAAACGAGAUAGUGAGGUCUCUAAUGGUUAUAUAUGUUUAUCAACUUCGGACCAUUUCAUUGAUGCUAUAAUUCUUGACAUCUUUGGGUUGAUUAUAAUUCUGCAGGCACUUUACUUCCAGUUUGGCAUCAAAUUGCAUAAUGUUGUGGAUACCCAGGUAAGAGACUUAUUCUUUCUUGUACAGAAGUGGGUAUCAGUGUCUUGUUUGCUGUUUUUUUCUUUCUCAAAUGACUGUGUGUUUCCUUACUUUUGAAUGCCAAUCAGUUGCUGGUUAUAAGUAUAAUAAUGUGUGUGGUGUUCAUUAUGGGAGUAAAAAGGAAAAUGUGUGUGUGUGUGUGUGUGUGGGGGGGGGGGGGGGGGGGGGGUGUGGUGUUCAUAAAUCNGGGGUUUCAUUGUAGGGAUUAGGAGGGAAGGCCUUAAGUGAUUGUUUCUGAAUAGGUGUACAUGUUUUUUAUCAAUUUAUCUUUCCUAAUGUCCUGCUAUAUUGCUCUCCAUUGUUUGUUUGGGUCACUAUUAUAUGGAGCCUUCUCUAGCUGGUUGAACAAAGGCUAUAUUCAGUACAUAAUUUGGUGAUUGUGUCUGGUACUCUCUGGCAUCUAUGUUAUAUUGAAUUACUUGCUUUUGUAGAAAGUUCAUAGGUGGUAUGAUUAUUAUAACUUAACUAGUUCUUGUUUCUCAUCUUGGCUGUUAUUUUAUUGCACAAAAAAAAUGAUAGCAGUUUGGACCUAAUUUUUCUUGUUAGUGAAAAGUAUGCUUGAAGUAGCUUUUUAGGUAGACGAUGUAAAAGCCAAUGCACUGUUAUAUUUUUACUUGUUGAUUUUCUAUUUUCUGUUCUUAGUCAGUUAUUUUGGAUCCCAGUUCUGCUGAGUAUUGACAUAAUAAAGUGGAUUAACAUUUAGGCAUUACAAGUAUCAUAUUCAUUUGUAUCAGAUUGCUUAUUCUUUAAUUGAAGAGCAAGAAGGUCGUACAAGAGCUCCAGACGACUACAUAUCAUUUGUUGGGCUCCUUGCAGAUCCACGCUAUUGUGGUACUCUUUUAGCAUUCAUGUAAUGAUUUUGUUGGUUCAUUUGUUGAUUGCUUUAAGGUCCAGAUGGUAAAUAGUUGUUAGCUAGGGUCAUUCACCCUCUCUCAGUUUCUAAGUUUACUGUGGGGUUUUAUUUGUAUUCUGCAUGAUCCAUAUAUUUUGCAUUUAAUAUACUAUUGAAUCCAUAUAGUGCUUUUAAAAUUAUAUAUAAUGUACCUUUUGGUUGCACAUGGCACGUUAGGCUUACCUAGAAGCUUUUUACAUUUUAGUGUUUUUGUUAACCUAUUAGUAGGAGUAAUCACACACACACACAGUGUGUAUUAAUAAAUAAAAGAAUCUUGAAAAAUCCUAAUUUAACCUGAACCAACAAUAAUGAAAUUUUAAGUAGAGCAAAAAUAAAGAUAGAUAUAUAUGCACAAGACGGGAAAACUCAAUGCACAGGCAGAGAGGAGGGCAGAAUUAUAGAAGAAAGGAAAACUGUAGCUUUCUUUUUCACUUAAAUGGCAGAAGCAACCCAUAAAAUCAAAUUGUCUAAACAGACAUCAAAUAGUUUUUUCGUACUUGUGAGUUAUGAGUUAUUUAAACUGCUUAAGCAAAUCCCUAAUGGGAACUUAGUUUUAUUUUUAUCGUGUGGUACUAGAAGAAAUGGUCUUAUUGCUAAUAACCAUAUCUCCGCUAUCAUCAGUUAUAUUACUUAAAAAGUUAAAUGUGCAGUUAUUAUCCAAUUUUCUGGUCAGCAAUCCGAAAUUAAAGCUAAACCUGACAUUGCUUUGUUUUCUUCUCCAAGUAAUUACUAAGUGUCCAAUAUUUAAUAAAGCAACAGAAGUGUUGGUAUCUUAAUUCAUAUAUAUUCUAGUUUUUAACUUGAAGAUAUGACCGCAGGUGUUUCUUAUCUGGAGAAGGAAGAAGUUCGCUUCCUUCUUAGGCAGGUUUGUCUUACUUCUCGGUAAAUUAUACUUUUAAUUUAUAUGAACAAGAAUGGUGAUGAAUAUUCUUCAAUUUGACUCAAUUUCUUGGAGAUCAGAAUUUGCUAUGUUACCUCUCAGUGGCUUAGCUGCACUUCCAUCACUGUAAAUAAUUCUAUGCUUCAUUAUCUUCAAUAUGCUUCAUGCGCUAUGCAACGUGAACUCUGAUAUUCGUUCACGUUAAUUUAAUUAUAUUGGGCAACAUUUGAGUGAUGGAACAUAUAUAUAAAGUAAUAGUGUAAUACGCGUUACACAUAUAUGGUAGUGUUGGAAAUAUUUUUUAGAGCAUCUACAGCAAAUUAGCUAUAUGAUGUCCUAAGUUAUAAUUUUAAGGAAUAUGUGCAAAAAUUCACUCCAGAGUCGCUACUCAUUCCCUAAACAUUAAGGAUCCAUUUUUCAUUCCUCAUAAGUAGGUAAUCCCUAACCCAUUCCUCAUUUGAAUUUUAAUGAUUAAAUAUUCAACUCUCCCCUUUUGCACACUCUUCCCACAUUUUUUAAUUAUCUUUUUGUUAAAAGAAUUUAAAUUUAAUACUGUAAUAAUAAUAGGGAACACAAAUAGAGAUUAUUGUUGGAGUUGUCAAUCAAUAUAGAAUACCUAUUUUUUAGGAAUUGAACUCUUUAUUAUGUAUUUAGGGGAACUCUUUAGAACACUGCUGGAGAUGCUCUUAUACCAUUAGCACAGUAUGCAAUGUUUGAAGGUUAUGUUGUAACUUAUACAAUGUACAUCAGGAUUAAAUUUAUCUUUGAGCCAUUUUUCUUUGUAGAAUGUUAGAAGCUGUAUAAAGUAACAAUACUCUGAUUUAAUGAUGAUGCAUUCAGGACCCCAACUUUUGGAUCUACAGGCCGCUGUCGGAACAGAUGGUUCGUGCUGCAGCAGAUGAUGUUCGUUUUCUUCUUAGCAUCUAUGAGAAGAUGGUAGAGAAAUUGAAUCAGAAAUCUUUGUGGUAUCUUUCUGUUCGUGGUGCACUAUAUUGUCGAUGUUUCUGCAUAAGUGACAACAAUUAUGCGGACUGGCCUUCUCUCCCUCAAAUUCCAGGUUAGCAUUAUGUUUUUCUAUAAUGUUUUUUUAAUAGAACUAACACACAUUAAAUUGAUGAUUUAUGAAUUGCAUUAUUAUGCUUUAAUGAGCCUUGAUGGUUAUGCUUAGCACACUUAGACUUUAGACAUGAACUGUAAAAGUCGAAGUAUGAGAAAGGUAAAUUAUCUGUUUUGUCUAUGUAAGGUUACCUUUUCCUACAUUUAACUGGGCCAAAUUUUGUAGUUCACUAGUCAGUCACUAAAAUAUAUUCCCUGCAGCCAGAUUAGCAGGCUAUGCAGUAUAUCCUAAUAUAUGAAUUCGAUGCCUUUUAAACAAUAACAGUAAUAUAAGGUAUGCAAAUUGGUGGAAAAAGAGUAGCUGAGCUGUCAUUCAGAAGGGUAAAAUGCUUGCAGAUGACAAUUUUUGCAAUUUGACAUCAUAAAAUUGAUUAUUAUUCUUUUCAAAGGUAACUUUUAGUACUCUUUCGUUAUUUAUUAUGUUUUAUAUAUGAGUAAAACAUUAUUAAUAAAAUUAUCCAAACUGAUGUAGGUUUAACGUUUAUGGCAAAUUUACUUUUUACUUGUUAGUGUUACCAAACUUGAAGUGAGGGGUAACUUUUUCUAAGCAAGCCUAAAGGUUCCGUUUUAGUUUUUUGUUAGCUAAAAUGAAAUGUUUAAAGCUGGUAGUUCUAUUAUAUCAAAAAUUAUUACCUGUUCGAAACCAUGACCAUUAACAUAUUUCCGAGAUGUGUGAAGGAAUGAUCAGAUAUCCAGGUAUCACUUUAGAAUCAAGGGAGUACAAGUGAAAUCUUAACGAGACACUGAUAGAGUAAUGACUUUAUCUUUGCAGCUAGCCUCAUUGCAGAAAGUGCUGCUCUAGAGGAAGAAAUUCUAUCAGUACUUGAUGUCCCCGCUGGAAAAAUGGGAUGUGUAAUUGGAAGAAGAGGGGCGUCGAUCUUAUCCAUUAAAGAGUCUUGCAAGUACUAUUUUCACCAGAUAUUAUAUCAAUUUAUUCUUCAUACAUGUUAAAUUUGUGUGUUCCUCUAAAUUUCAAUCUUUCUUUUAAACUAGAAUGCUUUGCAUUUUGCAGUGCUGAAAUUUUCAUUGGAGGUGCGAAGGGUCCGCCUGACAAGGUUAGUCUUUCCUUUCAUACAACAAUACAUGUAGACAAGUGAAAAAUAUCUUUAUUUUUCGUACAAAGCUUAAUCUAAAAAGUCGAAAACACUUCUUAUUAUUUGAGGAUCACAAAUUUUUGAUACAUGUAAAACUACUUUAAAUAUAUUAUAUAUAUACUCUUUGACCGUAUUCUAUUUAUUCCAUCUUCUAGUUGUUCUAGGUUUGAAUUUUAUUGUAAACAUCCUUUUCAUUUAUGAUGUAUAAUAUUGUGAAUUUGUGAACCAAGUUAAUCUCUUAAAAAGAAGCUUAACUCCCUUUUUAAGGGGUUCCACUUUUACACUGCUUCCGGAAAAUAAUUUUUCGUUUUGUACGAAAAACAUCUUUCGGAAACUGUUAUCUUGUAUUAUGAUAACCUUACUGUUUUCACAUUGAAUCUCUUCCUGGUCUUCUAUUUCUGGUUCUGGAUAUCUACGGUGAAUGCAUGUGGUGGAUGCUUAUAGUUCGUGUUCCAAUAGUUAACUCUGGAAUUCAGUUUGUCAUCUCAUGCUUAAAAGAAAAAUCACUGCUGACGUACUAAUGGUUUUGUUGCAAAUAAUUUUUAUGUAGGUGUUUAUUAUUGGCCGAGUGAAGCAGGUGAGGAAGGCAGAAGCCAUGUUAAGGGGGAAAAUGCUAGAAAUAUAUUAAGACCUCGUGUAUAUCGGCCUUUCAUUUCCGAUGUCGGCAAGAAUAAGCUCAACAAGAUAUGGAAUACAGUUAAUGUGCCACCCACAUACGAUCACAUGUUAUUGUGUACAUAUCAUCACAGUUGUCUUGAAGCAAUCUGUUUUUAUUUACUUGCUCUUAAAGCUCAACAGAGAAGAAUGUUAACAUUUGUGUCUUGUAUUUUUGAUGAUUUUAUUUACAGUAAGGUGGUUAUCAAUUUUCGCAAAUGCUAGUUAACUGGGUGUUGGGAUAAAAUAGUUUUCUUUAUUGAAUAUUGGAAGUGAUAGCUCAAAUGAACUUUAUUACUACUUACUACUUUCACUUCCGUUUUAUAAUGAAAUCUGUUCGUUUUUUUUCUUACUUUUUUUUUGCGCACACUUCAAGUUUUUUUUAAUGGGCAGUUAUUUAAAAUGACUUGCAUCUUUAAACUCUUUGUAUGUUUAAAUACAGAGACGGUGUUCAUAGACAUUGCCCAAGUCUCUGAUCAUAUUAUUUUUUUUCCCUUCAAAAGCAGUUGAAUUAUUAUUAUUAUUAAUUUAAACAUUGCUAAAUUUAUUAUGUGAUCAUUUUCAAAAAGUUGAAGAUAUUGAGAAAACUGUUAAUUAUAAAUAUUUUAGGUGUUGUAUGACCCACUAAUUAUAUAUAAUUAAAUCUGAUAAAAAGAUAACUAGUCAUAAAGUAAGUUUAUAGGGCCAAAUAAUCUGUAGCCUGCAGGUGGAUUAUUACUUUGUGCAAGUUCGGCUGCUGUCAGUUGUAUCAACAUUUAUUCUCAUCUACAUAAACAAUUGCCAAAACUUUACUUAUACUUGAUUUUGCAACUUUUGAAUAAUCAGCAUCAAUAUUACACAUCACAAAACAUUCUCAAAAGUAGUCAACACACUAACAAAUCAACUCAUGGCAUAAAACUUGUGAUUUUAACAAUAUAUUUUGGUAACAAAUUAAGGAUAUUACUUCUGGAAACCACCAAAUUGGUAAUCUUGGCUACUGGAACUUGAGAAGAAGUCAUCUCCACUAGGUGAUGUGAAACCAGAUAUACCAAGACCAGACCCUGAACCCAUAGCCCUGCCCAUGUGGUAAGAAGGUUGCGUUGCCUUGGCAUUAUCAUCUGUUUCCGUCAGGCCACCCACUACGCCGACAUCUGCUAAAUUUACCUUCUUCGCUGUUCAAAAUAUUUAAAAAUAUAGACAACAAAGAGAGAGAAAGUUAGCAGGGUAGAUUGUCACAAAAGUUGUUAAGCAGACAAAAGGAACUCCAACAUCAACUGCGUUACCCCAACAAUAACUUAAUUACUAUAGCAAGGCUCUUCCCAGCAUAGCAACAAGGACACAAGGUUCCGCAAUCCAGAAUCAACGGGGUUAAGUUUGUAUCAUUUUUAAUCAAGGUGAUGACAAGUUUAGGUAGUUUCAAAGUUUAAACAAACUACAGGUAGAAAUAACUUAGGGGUAGAAUUCCAAUAACUAUAUAUGUCUAAUUUCCAAUCCACAAGAAAUAGUCUCACUCACAUUGUAUAUUAUUCUUGAAUAGAUAUGAGGUACGAUAAAAAAAAACAUGGGUACAAAGCAGCCUCGGCACAGUAAGUAUCAUGCAGCUUAGUUUAACUACACAAAAAGGGAUUUUAUAUGAACUAUUCUCGAUACAUUUAAAACUUUAAAGUGGACAACGAGGGAUUUCAAUCAAGAAGAUGCUGAAGGGACCCUAGUGCCUCACCUCAUCUUGAGGCUGAUCACUGCCAUGGCAGUUAUUAUAAUGGUCAAGGAAGGUGAAAGAAGAGCUUGAGUGUGUUACCACACUAAAUAUCCAAUGUUGCAAGGAUAAUGUACUAGGGCGGUGUUUGGUGCAUUUUGAACUACAAUACGGGUAUUUAUGGACGACAAGUCAUUCCCAGUGUGCUAAUUCUAAUCUUAUAUGAUAAAUAAAUUCGGGUAAUUUAUAGUUUGGAAUUCAUUUUCAGGCCCCAGAGAUAAAACUCGGAGCAACUUCAGAUUUUUGAAAUAAUUUCUCUAUAUCAAUGUACAAGAUUAUUUUACAUAUAUGAAGGUUAGCAGAACAGAUAAAAUACCUUUAAAUAUAGAAGUUUAAUAUAGCUAGGGGAGGAAGACUUACGUGCACUUAUAUUAAGAUCAAUCAAUCCACGACUUAAAGAAUCUGCCCAUAUUCCAGAUUUAACUUGAAACCCACCAGUCUUCGGUGGAGGUUGAGUCUUAUCACUUAUGCUGCUAGGACUGACAUCAGAAGAACCUUUUUGAACGGGCUCUUUAGGGGAUGAAUCAGUCUGAGAAGUAAAUGAACCAAAGAAAUCUGAGCUGUCAUAAUUGUUUAGCGGGACCGCAGCAAAUGGAUCAACUGCUGUGGUGUUCAUUUGCUCCGACUGUAAAGGUUUGACCUCAUGUUGGGAGGCAAAGGGUUUAUCUACUUUUGUUGUCACUGGAUCAGGAGCAGCAAAAAAGUCUACUGUUGAAGAAGCAGGAUGGGAUGAAAAUAGAUCGACAUUAGCCUGCACAUAGCAACAGUCGUAUAAUUAUAUUGGACAAAGUAGACUAAAGGGCAAUUCAAAUUUAACAAUGAACAUUUUUCUCCACUCCAGCAUUACAAUACAUAUCAGAAAACCAAUACUAUAUAAGCUGAUAGAAUUAUCAACACGAGAGAACCAUUUCAAGAUUCAAGUGAUACAAUGAAUGGAUUGAGGGCAUUUUGAUGUGGGAUUCAGCCUCAAGUUAGAAAUACAAAACAAGUACCAAAAUUAUUAUUUUUUCAAGCUCACAGCAAAACAAGUGCCCAGCAUGUUGAUCUGGGAGAAGCUCAUGAAAUAAAGAACACCAGUGACUAUUCAUCACUCCAACCAUAUCUACAGUGUGGCAAACCACCAAUAAGUUACUAGAUACUAAAUUAACAUUACAUUAUAUCGAGCACCGAUACAUGCAAGUUUUAAUUCUUUUCCAGAUUGUGGUUUGCACAAAUUAAAUUUGGACCAAUAAGAUAUUAAUAUUUUUUGACAACCCCCUGAACAAUUAGAGAAAUCAGAAUCAUUCUAGUCCUCUCUAAAGUCACACUCACUGGCUUACGCAUAGCUAAAAUUUAAUAGGUGAUUUACAAUGCGUAGCAAUGCCAAUUUCUAAUCUCCCAAUGAUGACUGGAAGAUAGAAGUCAGCAUCUUUCCUUGCCUCGCAUGCAUCCACUAUCGAUAAUAGAUAAUAUUCUUGUUGAAUAAAGCUCGAAUACUAAACCAAAUUUAUAAAAUCCAAAACAAUCAUUUCACCAAUUUAUUGGUGGCACGAGCAAAUCAUGCAAUUCCAGCUUCCUAGACACCAAGUAAGAGGACCAUUUGAAGAAUAACUGUGAACUUACUUGACUGGUUAUUAAAUUCAUUUUCAAGUACAUCUUGGGGACUUGACUCCUUCAUUUCUUUUAAAUAUUAAAUUAUAGAUCAUUUCGAAAAGGUCGUCAUUAUUAUACUCCCUCUGCCCCCUUUUACAUGUCCCUUUUGAAAAAAUUACGCAUCUUGAGAAAAAAUUAGUUGAGUAUUUGGUUUCCUUGUCUACCCCUAAUAAAUGCACCAAAUUAAAUUGAGUUAUGUGUAUAUGUGUGGUAGUCAAACAUGGAAACUUGUAUUCAAAGGGUAUUCUUUGGGAAAACAUUCAAAAAAUUGCUUUAAAAAGAGAAACGAGACAAGUAUUUUGGGACAAUUUUUUUCAAAAAGGACAUGUAAAAGGGAACGGAGGGAGUAUUAUAUAAAAAUUUAGCAUAUUUUAUCGCUUCUAAAUUCUAAUGGUUGGUCCAAACUUGGAUCAUCAAUUUCGUGAUGAAUUCAAACACACUUCUAUCCUAAGUUAAGAAAGGAUUUAAGAUGAGGGCACCACCUAUUACUAUGUUUGAGUCGGUCCCAAAACUUACCCCUGAAUCCACAUUGGAUGGUGCUGAAACAAAAUCUGCAUCGGCAAACAGAUCAACAUCUGCUGAAGUGUUACUCGCACCAUGAUUUUCAGUGGGAACCGAUGCUGGUGCAUCAAGGAGUCCAAACAAAUCCACUUCAUUAGGGAUUACAGCAGCAGGCUCUGUGAAAGUACAAAGGCAUGGCAGAAAGAGUAAAGACCAUGUAACUGACUAGAAAAAUAUAUACAUUGACCUCGUAACUUGUAGUAGAUAAUGCACCCAAUUUUUAAAACAAAAUUAAAGUUCCAGGCUUGAUUUUAAGGUACAUAAACAGUAGAAAAGAACGGAUGUUGAAAAAUUAUUUCAACUUUUCAGAAUAUUACAAAGUUCCAUUUUGUAAUUCAGUGACAAUAGUUGAGACAUGAUAUAUGAUUUAGACAUUGUCAUCCAUAAACCUCCACAGUACCUAAAGUUAACAAGUUUGCAGCCACGGGCACACAAUUGGGCUGAUGCUCAAGAGGAUAGACAACAUUACCCAAUAUGUGUCACAUAUCAGGUAUUGAGAGGGAAAAUGGUAAGAAUCAUAAUUCUCUCUAAUGGAAACUAUAUGAUACUUACUAGAGCUGGUUCCACGAGGAUCAAAAUCAUCAAAAGUAUCCUCAUAUUUAUUAGAAGGCGCAGUGGAGCUUUGUGAGGGUGGUGACCCAUGAUUAUCAUUCUUAUUCUUCACUUGCUUGGAUGCAGCAGAAGUGCCUUGAAACCUGGAGAGUAAAACUAAGAUUAAAAAAAAAAAGAAUAUGCAAAACAUUACAAAGGCAAAGCAGCACGAAUAUCCGUAGUAAAUUGCUAAGUCACGACAGCUUUAUAGAUUCUUUCCCUGCUGACAUCAAGAAUGUGCUAAUCACGUACAUAUCAUUAUAUCAGACAGGAAAUGCUUAACAUCAUAAAUUUACAUUCCGGAGUCUAAGUUAUGAUUCUCUUGUAUGAACUACCCGCAUUUGAUAGUAGUGUAAUUGCCCAUUGACACGUUAGAAUACCUCACCCCUGCCAACACAGACAGAGCACCUAGCAUGUAUGCAAUAUAAGUAAUAACAGACCUGCCCUCUUGAGAGGUUCCCUUCUUCAAUGAACUAUCAAAAUUGUCACCGGUAGCUCCCCUGCGUGUCUUACUAGUACUCUUCUGGAAACUAUCUUCGCCAAAUCGGUCCCUGUCUUUAUAGCUGUCACUAAAUGCAUCAGCAUCUCUUGAAUUGCCGAAGCCUCCAUACCGGUCACCACCCCUAGAGCUACUGCUACCCAAUGCCGCUGAACCAGACUUGUAUGUUAUUCCAGUUGACGAAAGUCCAAAAUACCUACCAGUACAAGUGAGUAAGCUAAGGGACUUCAAAAGUGAACAAUUUUAGUUCAAAAAUACUAAUACUUACUUAUCACGGGUCGCAGAGGCCUUAUCUCUUACUUCUUGUAUCUUGUCUUUGUUAUUUAAAAGAGCCACUAUGUUCUCCACCUUCUUCCGCACAUUGAUUCCCAUAUCCUUCCCACUUGGCUCAACAUAUUCAAAACUGGAAAGGGCCUUCAUAACAUAUACAUAUUUAAAUAUAUUAGAUACAAAUGUACAGUUAUAUAACACAUGUACAGUUUUAAAAGACGCGCGCACACACACACACAUAUAUGCAAUAAACGAGAGAAGUGAAUAGUAUGACAAAACCACUUGAAAGAAUUCGUAAAAAAAAAAAAAAAAAAACUUGAAUCACGGAGCCACAUACGUACCGAGAUUUGAAAAGUAUGCUCGAUUAUGUCAUCUACUGCUCGCUCAGAUCCAUUAGCCACCAAAUACUCUAUCACUGCUAAUGACUGGCACGCCAAAAUUUUAGAAGUUGGAGAAUAGAACCAACAAUUAGCACAGAUGGCAAGAAAAAAAAUGUGCAUACAGCUAAAGGCUUCUUUCAUUUUAAGUACCUGGGAAGUAAAAUGUGGGGGAUAGACCGAGAAAAAAAUACCUUGUAAACAAAUCUCCAGUUCCGGCCAGUUUCAGUCAAUCUUGUCCAGAGAACAUUCAUUACCAUCUGACAUUCUGAGCUGGAAGAAUCCAAUCAUUGGAAAUAAUAUAAAAUAAAGAUAAACAUACAUCUUUUGAUCUUCCAAUAACAAGAAAAGAUAGAAUUUCGAGAAAAAUGCCGGAUCAAUGAAUAGAUAAAACUAGGACAUACAAUUUCUUAGUAGCUUGUGCAAUCUCUGCCAAUACAGUACCAUGAGGCCCCCAAGGUUCAUCAUCAGUUGCAUCGAGCACCUACACAAAAAAUAUAUAAAUAUAUAUUCCAGUUAUAACAACUCAGUUUAUAUUUACUCUUCAUCAUUAUCCCCAUGGUUGACAAUAAACUAGAAUUGCUCGAACACUAAACCAUAGGUUUUACUCAAUAAGGAUUUAAAAGAAUAGGAAUGGGCAUAAUUUAACGAAGUGCUAACACCAAGGCAUCCUUUAAUAGAAUUUUUUACACCAGAGUCAAUGUGAAUCUCUUAACAAAUUUAAACAAAAAGCACAACGACUUUUAAGUUGGCAGAAGUAAUAGUACAGACCAACAAGAACAUUCGAGCUGCUCUUGCCAUAUACUCCCUCUGUUCUAUUUUUAGCUGUCUCUUUUGAAAAAAAACACACAUCUUAAAUAAAAUGUUGGUUAAUUUGUUUACUUGAUUACCCAUCAUAAUUUCACUAAGUUAAGUUGAAUUGUUGUAUGUUCAAAUUAGUCAGACAUUGAAAACAGUAAUACAAGGUAGUCUUUGGCAAAACAUUCAAAAACUCGUUUUGGCAAAGGAGAACAACAACUUUUUAGAGACAAAUUCCCCCCCCCCCCUCUCAAAAAAGACAAUUAAAAGGGCACGGAGGGCGUAAUAACACACAGACACACAUAUAUGUCAACUGUGAAUUAAAUAUGAAAACGAAAUUUUUUUUUUUUAUGUACAGGCUUUCACCUUUUACUCAAUUGACGUGCAACUCUUCAUAUAUUUUUAAACAAAUAUCACAACUGUUUUUAACUCGCAGAAACAAUCAUAUGGAUCAACAAGAACAUUGAAGCUGAUCUUAUUAUAAAAGCGAUAUCAACACACAUCAAAGUAUUGCUGUGCAUUAUAACUGAGUACGAAUUUUCAAAAACUGUUGAAGUUUUCACUUUUUGCUCGAUCAAGGUGCAUCUCUAAUCCCUUAGAUUCUUUAAUAUAUUCAAACAUAACAAAAAUAACAAAAACGCCAAAACAUUUUUUAACUCGGCCUAAGCAUCCAUGAAGAUCAGCAACAACAUUCAAGCUACUCUUACUAAACCCUAACAUAAAUACACGUCUACACACACAAAUGCUCGAAAAACACCAAAACAAAUAACAAAACGAGCAAGUAUCAAUUUUCAACCUUCUGUUCGAUUUCCGGAACCUUCAAAACCUUCAAAUUCACCUCCCUCUUGCUGCACAAAUCCAAUCACACAAUUUCACAAUCACGUAAACAAUAAAAAUCAACCUAAUCAUCAAAAAUCACGCAUUAAUAUCGAGAUUGAGACUCACAUUUCGCGAACAGUUUGAUCAAACACCUUCAUGAAAUCCAUCUGCACGGAAUCACACGAAUGUGAGGAUUGAUCUAUCCAAUUACACACAGAUCUGUGUGUUGAUUAUUCACAACGUGUAAAUUAAAAUCACCUUUCUGCAGAUCAAAAAUUGAAAGCUGGGAGAAGAUAAUAAAAUAUAUGUGUGUUUAUGCGGGGGGAGAGAGAGAUCGAGAGAGAGAUCUGAGAGAGAUAGCUGUAUAAAAAAUGAGGUGGGCGGAAUCAGGCGAUUCGCUGGCAAUUUGUUGAUGGUAAAUACCGAUUUCUUUUUGUUUAUGUGUAGUUUUUUGGUGAAUAUUUGUUUUGGAUUUUUAAAGAAUAAAGAAUUCAUAUGGAAAAAUGGAAUGUUAUAAUUUUCGGCCUUUUGUUGGGAAAAAGAUUAUCUUUUAUAAAAAUAGUAGCAAAGUGAGGUUUUAUAAGUUUUCUUUUAAAUUACUAAAAAAUGUUAUAUAUUAAAAAAAAUUGUUAUGAAAAUUUAACUAAAAGUUAGAAAAUGAUACAAAUAAAUAUCAGAAAAUAAUAAUUAAGUAUAAGUAAUUUUAGAUUCACGGUGUAAAAUAUGCAGAAGAGGUGGAAUAAUGAAUAUGUGAGUUAAAUUUAUAAUUUGAAUGAAGAUUGAAUAAAUAAAAAUCAUAAACAUUUUUUAUCAUCACUCAUAAUUUAAGAUGAUAAUUCGAAAAAGAGAUUGAUGUUGUUAGUUCAAAUAAAGUGAUGAAACAUUUUUUUCUCUUCUUUAUAAGCAGCAAAUGAAAUAUUCUUCUUAUUAUGAUUAAUUUAUAAUAAUAUAAUUUUGAAUGAAAACAAUUAUGCAAUUGUAUAGAAAAUAAAAAUAUUAUAUAAAAAAUAAAAAUUAUAAAAAAAUUCUCAAUGUCAAGAAUAUUAUAUUUCGAUGCCAAAGAAUUUCGUUUUAUCUUUCAGAUCAAAUUUCCUUCUCAUCGAAGAAAAUAAAAUUGACUUAUACAGUAUAUAUAAUUUAUACCACCUCUGUGAAUCCUUCCUUGUCACAACUCACAACUCCUCGCGACUCGUGAGUCAUAAUCUCAAUUCUCAAGUCUCCUCAUCAUCGACCUAUUUUCAUCCUCAAUCAAUUAAAAUCUUUAUCAUUAAUCGCUUUAUCUUUAAGUUUCAUCAUUUCUGCAAAUUUAAACUCACAGGUAAGUACAUAUUUCGUUGUAUCAUUUGUAUAUAUAGUUUGUGAUAGAUCUUUUGUUUUGUGUAUGUAAUUUGUGAUUCUAGAUCGGUUAUAACUGAAUACUUGUAUGUAUAAUCUUGCAGGCUCUGUGAAUUGUCCGAUUUUGUCGGAGUGAAUUUCGAGGUUGAUCCACGAUGUUUACACGGAUUUUCGGAAAGCCUAAGCAAGAGGAGAAUGCUGUUGCUACGUUAGACAAGUUGAAUGAGGUAUUCGGUUUAUUUGGUGUUGAGUUUAAUUGUUGAAAUUGCGGUUUUGUUUGUGUAUUUGAGUGGAUGAUAUGAUCAGAUGAUUGUAGUUGUGUGUGUUUGUUAAGUGUUGUUGCUUUGCUAGGAUAGACAAGUUAGAUGAGGUAUUCGGUGUAUGUGUCGUUGAUUUGCUUGUUGAAAUUGCGGUUUUCUUCGUGUAUUGGGGUGGAUGAUUUUAUCAGGUGAUUUUAGUUGUGUGUGUUUUCCGGUUUAUUUGUCGUUAACUGUUUGUUGAAAUUGCGGUUUUAUUCGUGUAUUAAGUAUUGUUGAUUUGCCAUGCUAGACAAGUUAAAUGAGGUAUUCGGUUUAUUUGUCGUUGAUUUGCCUGUUGAAAUUGCGGUUUUAUUCGUGUAUUGGAGUGGUUGAUUUGAUCAGGUGAUUGUAGUUGUGUGUGUUUGCUAAUUGUUGUACUGUUGCUACGCUAGACAAGUUAAAUGAGGAAUUUGGUUUAUUUGUCAUCAAUUUGCUUGUUGAAUUUGUGGUUUUAUUCGUGUAUUCGAGUGGAUGAUUUGAUUAGAUGAUCGUUGUUGUGUGUGUUUGUUAAGUGUUGUUGCUGUUGCUACGCUAGACAAGUUAAAUGAGGUAUUCGGUUUAUUUGUGUGGAGUUUGCUUGUAAAAAUUGCGGUUUACGCCGCGUAUUCAUGUGGAUGAUUUGUUCAGGUGAUUGUAGUUGUUUGUGUUAAGUGCUGUUUUUUGCUGUUCCUAGACACUUGAGAUGCUCGAGAAAAAAGAGAAAGUGCUAUUGAAAAAAGCUGCGGCGGAAGUUGAAAAGGCCAAGGAGUUCACGCGAGCCAAAAAUAAAAGAGGUAUAUCGCAGUAGAUUUGUCGUCUCUUUUGUAAUUUAAUGUUGCCGUCGAUUUUAUAUGCUUCCUUUGAUAUGAGUUAUAAGAAGGUGCAUUAUUAAUCUCCAUAACUUGAAGAUUUAGUUUAGUUUGGGAAUUUUGUUCAUUAAAUAUUAUGAGUUACUGCGUAUUGCACCAAAUUCGAUCAUUUUUUUUGUGCUCUCGAUUUAAAUUAUGUUUCUUGUGUACAGCGGCAAUACAGUGUUUGAAGAGGAAGAGACUUUACGAACAACAAGUGGAGCAGCUCGGAAAUUUUCAGUUACGUAUACAUGAUCAGGUGCGACGAUAAAUGACUGAGCUAAUUGAUCAUAAGUUUUAUUUAUAUAAGUCUUUGGAUUAAAUAGUUGCAAUAUAAUCAUGUUAAUUAAACAUUUGUUUCAGAUGAUUAUGCUAGAAGGUGCAAAAGCUACAACAGAGACCGUUGAUGCUUUGAGGACCGGAGCAGCUGCUAUGAAGGCCAUGCAGAAGGCAACGUAAGUUCGAGUUCACUUUAAGCUUCAUAUACUGCUUUUGCUCACCUGCAAUUGAACUAAGAAACAUAUAGUAUUAUAUUUUCUCUCUUUAGAAUCAAUUGAACACUGAUUACAUCUACCCUUCCCCGGUCAAUAAUUAGGCAAUAAUAUUUGUUAUUUGCAAUGUGCACAACACUUUCUAAUUGUUCAUUUCUUGAUAGACAUGAUCACAGGACAUUGAAAUACUGCUUGACAUAUGGGUUACGUACUCUGUUACGACUGUUAUACUAAAACAAUUCGUAGAAGAUGACAUUCAUUAAUUGGCCAACUUAAAUUACUUUAACGUAUAUAAGAUGGUUCAUAACCAAAUGGUUAAAGAGUAGUAAUUGCCAUAUAAUUAUAGUACUGUAUACACUCUUGUCUUCUAGUAAGGUUAUAUGAUUUUUGAUCGGUUAUAUUGUAUCCUUCUCCGCUUCUCUGCUAACAAAGUCUUUAUCCUGCAAAACAGUUAUUACAUCCCCAUUUAUCACUUUAUUGUGCAAGUCUCAUGAGACCAAAAUGCUCCACACACUUUGGCUGUUUAAGCUUAGAAAUUAGGAUAUAUAUAGCGACUGAUUUCUAUUGGGGUAUAAAUAUGAAUAUUGGGAGACGUUUUAAAAGCAUCACUCACCAGAUCCCUUGCUAACUGUUAGUCUUCAUGUACACGAUUAAUCUCAGAUUGGUAUAACUCAAAACAAACAUUGAAGAUGCAAUGAGUUCUGAUUGUAGUGGGCAGUAAUUACACAAUUGAGCACUUUAUUAUGGAUGUUUCAUAUGAUUAGAAAAAUACUUAUAUGGAUUUUUAUCUUAUGCUUGGUAUUUUUACCAGGAAUAUUGAUGAUGUUGACAAAACAAUGGAUGAGAUUAAUGAACAGACAGAGAACAUGAAACAAAUUCAAGAUGCACUGUCAGCACCCAUCGGAGCAGCAGCAGAUUUUGAUGAAGUAUGUGCUCUGAUUUUUGAUUAAUAUAGAAUAAAUUCUUUAAAGACAUCUUUUAAGCUUCAAGUUUAUUCUUGCAGGAUGAGUUAGAAGCAGAGCUUGAAGAAUUGGAAGGAGCUGAGUUGGAGGAACAGCUUCUUCAGCCUGCUACAACUGCCCCUACUACUUCUGUGCCUAUUCCUGCAGGUAGGCAACAAGUACGUCCAGCUCGUCAGCAGAACACAGCUGAGGAUGAUGAACUUGCUGCAUUGCAGGCAGAAAUGGCACUAUAGAAUGGUAAUCUACUUUCCAUAUUUCGAUCAAGAUAUAUUUUUUGAGGUUCUAAGAGAACUAAGUAUAAACUUUGGUAAUAUAGCUGUAGUAGCACCAUAUUGUAUGAACAUUUGUUCUGUUAUGUACACAUAUGAGGUGAGUUUAUCGCAGAAGAAAUUAUUAUUAAGAACCAAAAGUAUGAUAUACAUGGUUUUGUGUAUUUAACUAACCUGCAUAUUUCAAGCCUCUAAAAAAUUUGAAUCUAACGGGGGCGGUUUACUUCUUUCAAAGAAAUCGAUAAAGGGAUAAAUAUCAAAGUCAUCACUCGUUGCACAUAAGUCACUCAUUUCUAAAUUGACUUAAUCUAGUCAUUAAUUUAAAAUUUUGUAUCAAGCAGACCAUCUGUCAAUGACUCGACUGAUACAAAAAUUAACUUUUUAGUGACUAAGUUGAUACAAAUUUUCAAAUUGAUCAUCAAAUUGAGUCAAUUUUGAAAAUGAGCGAGUAAUAUGAUAUAUUUGAACUAAACGAGUGAUGACUUUGAUAUUUACCCCGUUCGAUAAAUGGUCUCAAUGGCGGCAUGACAUUUAUAAUGUAGAAAUUGAGAUCACAAUUACUGUAGUAAUUAAAGCUGCUUGCUUUUUGUUAAUAUCUGCCUCAAAGCUUUUGAACUGCUUCACUGGCGUUGUCUCAUGAUGUUCCAUCUGAGAGACCUUACCACAAAUUGAGAUCACAAUCAAUAGUUUGAAGCUAGUUGCUUGACUAACUUGUUGCCCCGUAGUGUUUAACACCCCCCAUAUUUAAUUAAUUUAAUGCACGUUACCACAUGAUAGAAGUAUCUCUUAGUUACUUGUAGGUCCAAAAUUCUGCCUGUACCCAGGAGAGCUAAAGAUUUAGUGUUUAUUUAUCUAAGAGCAGGUUGUUUGAUAUUAUCUUCAUAUCAUGUUUAUUCAGUGAGAGUUACAAAUUUAAUGAGAUUUAAAGAAGUCAUCAGCAAAGCAUGAUUAUCAAGUGCUGAUGGAAAGGAUUACGUAGUAGGAUGAGUACUUUGUCAAUUGACAUUUAUGUUUGAUGAUUUGAGCCAGCGUGACAUCAGCUGUUACAGUUGAGAAAAGCACACAAACAAACUGAUUAAUUCUUGUUUAAAUGAGGAACUGGAAUUGUUUAAGUUGUAGAUAUAUCAAUGCUAAUUUGUGGGUUAUGAACAUAUAAGCAACAUCUGAUUAUUAAGCCAAAAGAGGGGGUAACAUGGUGAAAUAUUUUUGUUCACAUGAAAUAUAGGAUAUUUGAGGGGUCCUGACAGCCACAGGACAAUCCCUGGGCCUUCAUUGUUUCAAUUUUCUUUCAUAUAUAUUGUAAUUUUGCAUAUGUUUGAUAGUGUUUGGAUUUUGAAAAUUACUAAUUUCUGUUUAAACUAUAAAAAUCAACUAGAAGAAAAGAAAACAAUAAUAUAGAAUAUAAUUUUUUUUUUUCUGGUGAGUUUGUUUUAAGAACAAGCAGCGUUUACAUGCUCGGAAGUUAGACUUAUAUAAUACUAGUAUUUUAUACCAACAACCUGAACACAAUUAAUCUAGUAAAACAUACUCCCUCCGUUUCAAAAUACAUGUCCACUUUAAGGGGAAAAAAUUGUUUCAAAAUAGUUGUUCCCUUCAACUUUCAAUGUAAAUUUUUAUUUCCAAAAUCAACUCUCCUUCACAUAUUUUUAGUUUAUAUUUCCAAGAUCAACCAAAUACCACAUAUUAGGUUCAAUUAAUGACUUUAUACACCUCUUUUUUCUCAAAAUCCACUUCUCUUAAAAUAUGUGAUCUUUUGAAAGUGGAAAUGAAAUUUGAAACGGAGGGAGUAUAGUAUAAUUUUAUAUUCUGAAAAGAUUAGUUUCCUCAAUGAUGGUCUUAUCUGACAUUAUGUUGUUGCUUUUGCAGUUCUGAUGAUCAAGAAGAAAUUGUGUAAAGAAUUUAAAGGAUUGAAUGUAAUCUAUUAUGGAGUUCCCAGAUUUCAUUUUCUUAAUGAGCAAUUGCUGGUAUGAGGACAAUGUAUAGACGAUAAUUUCAAGAGAAAAUAUAUUACAUCUUGAAUCUGGUUUCUCUUCUGGUGUUCAAGUUUCUAUUCACAAAAUUUUAAUUAUAUUUUUGAUAUUUUGAUACUUUGCUUGAUUGUGAGAUUUUUUGAGUAUAAUAUUGUAGUUGAUAUAUUUGGAGCCUGAGAUAAGACUGAAAGAUUAUGUAUUCAGAUUUCAGGGGAUGGAAUGUUGAAAUUUUUUGCAAAGUGUAGAUUAAUUAAGUAAAUCAAAUUAUUUAUGGACUCAUCCAAACAAAUUAAAUUGAAAAAAGUUGUUCAUCAUGUGAUAUAUAAGUGUGAACCAUUUCAUCAACAAAACAUUAGAAAAAGGUCAUAAUAAAAAUGAAACAAGUCUAUUAUGAUUUUAAAAUAUUUCAAAUUGACCAAAUUGUGACAGUAAUCUACUUAUGUUAUAUAUAAGAUUAAUUUAAAAUAAAUCAAUGAAACAGAUGCAGAGAGGGUUCAGGGUUCAUGUUCAAACAAAUUAAACAUGCAGACAGAACAUUUUUCUAGGUAGGGCCUUUGAUCAAAUGCAUCCCCUGGACUCUGGAGGCAUUAUAGGGAGUAUUAGAAUUCUUCUUGAUCACUUAGGAGUAUGUAAUGAUCAUUUAUAUGGAUCAUGAAGAAUCCUUUAAUAUUAAGAAAAUGAAUGUAUCAUAUGAACAACAACCUUCUGUAAAUUCAAUCUGGGUGUUUUUUGUUGCAAUUUUCAUCAGUGGCGGAACCAGAGGGGGGCUAGGGGAUGCUAGAGCCCCCCCUAACCUCAAAAAUACAGUGUAUAUUUUUUUUUCAGCCCCCGCAGAAUUUGUGAUGUCAAUAUAAUUUUAUUAGCUCUGUUGAAUUAUAAAUGUCAUAGAGAGGGACUUAUUAUAAAAGAAGAAAAGAGAAGACACUUAGUCUAAAGAGAGUCUAAUUAACAAAUACAUUCAAACAGAUACACUGAGAGCAACUAGAUCAUGCAAACUGUAUGAUGCAUGCCGAGUACUUUGUACAUUAGAAAAAUAAUAUAAAUUAUAGUUCUUAAGUUCUUGAAGAGGUGUUAGGAGCUCCUAAACUCCCGAUGCUUCAAAAUAUACCUUGUUCAUUAGCAAAUAGAGCUCCUAAGUUCUUGAAGAGCUGUUACGAGCUUGUUGGAAUUCAUUUCAUCUCCAUAUUUUUCAAAUUUUGGCUAAAGAGCCCAUACGAAUAAGCUUUUGGACAUGCUCUCAUAAGUCAUACACACACAUUGACUUUAUAUUGGCUCUUUGGAUUUUAGAAAUUAAUUUUCGAAUUUCAAUAACUCAAAAAUGGUGUUCCUUGCACAAUUUUAUCCAAAGGAUUUCUCUUUACUAGACUUGGAGUUGUUGCCAAAUCAGCUGCACAAUUUUAUCUAUGAUAUGAGAGCGGAGAUUAAUAUGGACUUCAAAAUAUAGGAAAUCUUUCUGUCAUGAUGGUUAAAACACAUAGACACACUCUUAUCCCUUAGUUUAUCUUCCGGUUGAGUUAGCUCUGGUUUUACCGGUUGUCAUUACUACUGUUGAGAGAGUUUUUUUUGCUAUGAAGUAUGAAAGCAAUCAAUACUUAUCAGCGUAAUAGGAUGAAAGAUGCAUGAAUGAAUGAUAGUAUGAUGAUAUAUAUUGAGAAAGCUAUUUAUGCAAGUAUGGAUGACGAAAUAUUUUUCAGCCCCCCUAAUUUUUAGUCCUGGUUCCGCCACUGAUUUUCAUAUUGAUUUAUAGAUAUGAACUUCGUGUUUCUACAUUUCUUCAUUUCUACAGGAGGAAAAAGGGGUCAUGGGGGUGACUUUGAGAGGCAGGACAAGUCUCAAAUCUUGAUUACAAGUGUAAUGAACAAGCGAAAACGAUUGGUGGAAUUUUACCCCAUAAGAAAGAAAAUGCUGAUGAUGCAUGAAUCUUAUCGGAUUAAAGUCGCUGUAUGUAAAUUUUUUAUUUAUUUUUGCAAAUUUGAUGCAUAUUUAUUUUUUGCAAAACGGCACUGAUUUGGCAUAUACAUAGAUGAGAACUGCAGCAGUAUCCAAUACAUUUCAAGUGUAUAUCAGGUAAGUUCAAAGACAUAUUAAAGUCUGGAAGGAAAAUUUGCAGGUCUGACAUGCAAAAAAGACCCUUAACUUCCCCUGAGUUUUUAUAUCAGCCCCACAAAAGGCAAUUUUUCAGAACCUUCCCCCCACUUGGUUUGAAAUUGUAUGCUACAUAUUGCAUAAUGCAGAUGUGUGAGUGUCUGUGUUCACGUCAAUUUUACCCUCAUGCACCUUUCAUGACAUUGACCAGUAGAAAGCAAAUAGAUGCAGUUGAUGUAUGUUAAAGUAAUAAGGGAAGACGGACGGGAGAAUCGAACUGUUAAACUAUUGAACUCUCGUAGCACUAGAAGCACCUUUACCCGGAUCCGGACCCUCUAAAGAACAGAGGAAGACGCAACCCGGAUCCUUUUAAAUAACAGGGGAAGACACACGAGAUAAUCGAACUAUUGAACUCUCGUAGCACUAGAAGCAACCCAGCGUCGGACACUCUACUCUCAAUCUUUGCCGUCCUUUCUAUUUCAAGUGUUGUAAGAAAAACCAAAUGCCAAUUACUGAAGUACUAUAUCUUUGCUGUCCUUUCUAUCAGCAUAAGUUGCACAUAAGCAUGAACAAAUAUAUUUCAGAACACAUAAAAUUUAUCAAAAAAAUCCCAGCAUAUUAAUAAGAAAGACAUUCAUCUAGAUUCUGAAAAUUAAUCCUACCUAAAUUUCAUAAUACUAGAUAACUAAUAAGUAUAGUCUACUAGGCCACAAGCUUUGUCUUCCUUCUAGUAAUUUCCAUAGAAUUGGUCAUUGACAUUUUGACACACGGUUGAAUUUGCAUACGAAUUACUUGGAAGAUUGAUGAGAGCUUCUCCGAGAGUCUCCUGGCCUUGAUCAUUACUCCAAAUCCCAGCACUCAUCAUCUGAUCAUAACCGAAUCCGGAUCCAAAAUCCAUCAGAAACUCAGAGGCAUUGUUGUCCACAGCAGUAGAUGAAUCCGAAACACUUGAAUAUUCUUGGACAUUAUUCCCAGUUUGUGUAUAAUGCAUAACACCAGCAUUCGAUGGCUCUUCCUGGAGAAAACAGUUGCCUUGAUAGAUAUUUGAAAACCCGAGAUCAUAAUUACCUUCGACGUUUGGAUUUAAAUUGUGAUUCGUCGAUGAAGUUGAAUUUGAACUCUGAGGAGCUUGAUGAAUGGCAGCAAAGUAGGAGUCUUUUGUAGCCUGGAGCUUUUUUUUGAGUUUGGUGUUCCAGUGAUUCUUCACAUCAUUGUCUGUUCUUCCAGGGAGACUUGCAGCUAUAACAGACCAUCUGCAUCAGUCCAUAGAUUAAACUUCGAUUGAAUUUAAACCAAACACGAAUAUUAUGCAUUGUUCUAAAAAUCGGUGAUUAAUAUCGCGAUUAAUCACCGAAUAAUCGUCAUUCCGUAUCUCGCCGAACUAAUAAAAAUUUUAAUUGUUCAAUUAAUUAUCCGCCUGAUCCUUGUUUCACGUUCUCACUGAUUAAGUCCGAUUUCUGCUUUUUACAACAACAUUGAUAUUAUGUAAUAAAAUAUGCGAUAUUAUGUAAAAGUAUACCUGCUUCCAAGAAUACCAUAGAGAUUAUAUAUGAUGCCGUCUUCUUCAGGAGUAAAAGCGCCAUGCUUAAUGUCUGGCCUUAGAUAAUUAAGCCAUCUCAGGCGGCAGCUCUUGCCGCAACGUUUAAGGCCUGUUAAAUUUAAUUUGUUAGAAGAUAAUUAUUUGUCAAGGCAAAUUCGAAUUCAGUCUUCAUACUAAGAAAAACAUGGUAUAUAUGCAACAGAAAUACACAAAGCAUCUUUAUUUUCAUCACAUCUGUGUUUGUGAGACUUGAGGAACAAUAAAAUAAGCAAUUUAAGUUGAACAAUAUGUAGAACAGAAGAAACAUCAACAGAGGGGGAGAGAGAGUGGGAGUGAGAGAGAGGGAGGGAGAGAGAGAGAGAGAGAGAGAGAGAGAGAGAAAGAGGAGAGACGUANNNNNNNNNNNNNNNNNNNNNNNNNNNNNNNNNNNNNNNNNNNNNNNNNNNNNNNNNNNNNNNNNNNNNNNNNNNNNNNNNNNNNNNNNNNNNNNNNNNNNNNNNNNNNNNNNNNNNNNNNNNNNNNNNNNNNNNNNNNNNNNNNNNNAUCUUGUUGGUGUUUUGUGAAGGCCCUGGGAGGCUCAAGCUCAGACUCAAGCCCAAGUCAUCUCUUUGUUGCACCAUCAUUCCUUUCCUUGGUGUGGAGAGAGAGAGGGGAGAGAGAGAGAGAGAGAGAGAGAGAGAGAGAGAGAGAUGCCCGCUCUGAGAGGCAAAGAAAUCCAGUUCCCCCCAGUGCCAUGAUUCUGCAGAUAAUUCUUCAAGAUUUCAUCUUCUUGGGGAGACCAAGGUCCUCUCUUCACUUUACUCUUAUCACAACAAGGUGCCCUUCCCAUCCUUAUCUCUCUCCCUCUCCACAACACAUCUACAAACUCAAAACCCAAACAACAAUCACACAAACUGAUCCACCGAACGAGCUUAUAUACACACAAGCGCACUAGACUCCACAAUCACACGUACACAUAUUCAUAUAUCUCUGCAUGUGCGUUUGUACUUUUAUGACUAUUUUUAGCUAAACUUACUAAGAACCAAACUAAUGGAACCCGUUUUUGGAAGCUCAUGACUCUGCAUGGCCUUGUUUCCGUUUUUAUUAAACUUCUUCGGCUUUGCUUCUAUAAAUUAAAUAUUAUUUUUUUUAACUUUGAAAAUUUCACGUUGGUUAAGAUUUGUUGGGACCAGUCAAUAUUUACACAAUAAGCAGGUGAUGUCAAUGUUUACUCGGUUUAAUUGCUUCAUCAUUCUGCGCGUGAAAUUAACAUCAUCAGCAUUCUAAAUUCUUCGCAUUUCUGGAAUUCGAAUGCCGUCUUUUUAUGUUACUAAAUUUAUUUUAGCUUUAAUAUCUCUUAAAUUUAUUGGUAAAUCCAUCAUACAUCUUACAUUCGAAAAUAAUAGUCGUUUUGAUUUUUAUAAAUGAUUUGAAAUAUAAAAAAAAAUAUUUUUGCACAUUUUUUUCAAUUUUUGUUUUUCUGAAUAAAAAUUUAUAUGUUAAAAAGUUUAUUCGAAAAAUAAAAUCUGAAAAGUAAAAUAUUGAAGUAUUUUUUUACAAAAAAUUAAAACGACUAUUAAUUUGAAGCACAAAGAGUAUUAAUUAUCAACAAGAAAUUGAGAAUUUGAAACAAUGGGAAACAUUUGAAACAUACUCUUUUUUUUCCCAUUAUUAUAUCCACGUGUCGUCAUAAACUAGUUUUAGUGGGUGUUUGGGGGUUUAAAAACCCCGCUGUUUGAAGCACUUAUUCGUACUGUUUGUGUAAAAAAUCGAGAAGUAUUUAUAAAAAGUUAGGAUUCCUAACUUUUGUUUCACGACUUAUACUUUUUUCCCAAACACAUUAUCAUUUAUAAGUCCUAACUAACUUCUAACUUCUACUUCACUUAUUUUAUUUUAAGCAAGAAACACUUAUUUUAAACUCACUCAAACAGCCCCUUAAUAACUUCCGGAAUAAACAAGAAUCAAAUCCAUCAUUUGAAAAUAAACUCGGCCUCAGAAACAUGCAUCCUUUGUGUCUUGUGGUGGUGUAUAUCAAAAUUCUGCAAUUGAGUAAUAAAUACUAGUCAUGGUAAAAUUGGAGGAAAGUCUAUUUCGACAAUUUGCUACAGUAAAUAAAGUGAAUGUAAUUGUCGUAAAAUGAGAAUUUCAUGAAACUUUCAUAAACAAAAAGUCGUGUAUGGUCAUCGAAAUGGUAAGUACAUUUUUAAGGAACCGAGUAAAAAACAUGGAGUUCAUGAUUUACCGAUUCCACUAUUGAUAUGGUCUCCUAGAGUACUAUAAAUAAAUUACCAUAAGUGGCAGACAUAUAGUAUAUUUUUCUUCUUUUUUUUAUUAAACUAUUUUAUAGUCAUGGUAUCUGUUCGAUAAUACAGUAUAUAUAAAUUCGAUAGCGUCAGCGUUUACGAACAGGAUGAUAUCAGCUGACGAACAAGAAGAGAUUUCGUGUACGAUAUAUAUUAUAUCCAACUUCUUUUUCAUAUAUCAUUUAAAUCAUAUAUAUAUAUAUAUAUAUAUAUAUAUUUUGAUUGUUAUUGUAUGAUUUAUUUGAUUAUUUAUUGAUAACGAUUAUCCUAAAAAUUGGUGAUUAAAUCACUCAAUUAAUUACGAUUCAUCAUGUUCCAUAACUCGUCAAAUUAAUUAAAAUAUUUCUUGAUAUCCAUAUAUUGUACUGUCAUCGAUUAAAUCAUAUUCUCGUUUUUUGAUGAAAAAAUUAUUAGUUAAAAAAGAAUAAUUGAAAAAUGGUCCAGUUGAUAUGCUCUGACUUAAUUAUAAUUAGAAAGGUUUUUUUUUUAUCAAGUAUAAUCAGAAAGGGUUAAAAAUUGCCACUUGGUAAAAUAAACACGUGAUCACAUUUUGAAGUAAAAAAUAUUGUUUACAAAUCAAGAAUCAAGAACGAGUCUAGCUUUUUCAAAAAAAAAAAAGAACGAGUCUAGCUAUGUAGCCUCCAUAAUUAGACUUGAUAAUUCUGUUUUGUCGUGUUUUAUAUAAUCAAAGUACGAACACGAUUAAGACUCAAUUCUGUGUGCUCGGAUAUAAAUAUACGGCCAAUUGCAACCAAGUAAUUUCAGAAAAUAUCAAUAUUUUCUAUUGAUUAUGUAGAACUAGCAAAGCAAUUAGAGCAUAUUUAAUUAGAUGUUUACAGUUUUUUCUCCAUGAAUUUGUUAGACAAAAUAUUAAUUAAUAUUGCAGUACCUAGAACCAUGCAAAAAGUCCGUAUAACAUAAAGCAUGUGUGCGCAACAGCCCAGCCAAGCCCAUUAUCAUGUAAUGAAACAACAGAGAACAAUACUGGACUGAUGGGCCAUCCAUAGCAGCACCGUGCCUCUUUAUCAACUCAGCCCAGCUCUUUUAAAAUAGCAUUAUGAAAUUGUUGAGGUAAAUCGCUUGCGGCAAAAGUGAAACUUUUUGAGAUUUUGGUAUCAAGUUAUCGAAGUAAUGUCAAAAAAGGGAGCUCAAAUCAUUUUUUAAGAGGCAAAAAAAAUAAAUUUUACUGUUAAAGUUGCAUAAAUAUAGAUUAUAAAAAAAUAAUUAGAUUUGUAUAAUAAAAGUACAUAACUCAUAUGGUUCCGGAUGCGUGAUAGAGUUACGUUAGCAACAUAUAUUCAGCGGAGAAAAAUGUUGGAAAACUUAAUUCUAAAUUUUUGAUAUACACACGGAGGAGGUGCUACACGUAACACUAUCAUUCAUUAGAAAAAUUAUCUUAUUUUAGGAUUUUUCACGUCCAGCCAUUUUAGGAUUUUUCACGUUCAGCAUUUUAUUCUUGGCGGAUGUAUGCUACCAUAAAAUAUAAAUACUGAUAAAAUAAAUUUAAAAAAAUAUAAACCACAAUGUUUAAUUAAAAUUAAUAGAAAAUAGGAAAUUAUUAUAAUUGUAGCCCUAAAUAAAUCUUGUACUCCCUCCGUCCCACCGAUUUCUAUACGUUUUUUUACCCUCGGCACGCAUUUUAAUGCUCUUAUAAAAAAGGUUAUAUAAUUUAUAUAGAUAUUAUAUUUUAAUUUUUAAAAAUCAUAAAAAAAAUUAUAAAACUAUAUAAUACAAGAAAAUUAAAUUGUGUAUUUCGUAUUCCCAUCAUAUAUAAUUGAGGAGACUAAGAAAAUAUUAUACCAUAUUAAUAAUAAUUAAUUUAAGAUUUUAGCUUCCCGUGUAUCAACACCGAAAAGAGAAAGACAUGGAGAUGUUUAAUUUCAAAUACUAUAUUACCGACACUUCCUUAAAAGUAAAUACUGUACAAAUUUGAAUAUGGGAUUUCAGAUUAUUUACACCGACCCUUCUUUAAGAGCGACAGAAACAACGACGGUACCUUGAUUGAAGUGAUUGAUUCCAACAAUCCACAAAACGAGAACCUAACCUUAUUUCACAGGUUAAAAUACUUUAUUGUCAUUUUCUAAAAUAUUUUAAAAAUUAAAAGAAAUUUUACUGGAGAGUGAGAGUAGAA
rnacentral:lncRNA from 1 species